UAUUAAGGGAAUAAAGUAUUAAAGUUCAAAACAAAACCACAACAGUGCUGGGCUGAUCUAAAAAUAAAACAUGGGAUACUUAAAGGGUUUGAGAAGCCCGCAAAAACAAAAAUAGAAAAUGAAGCCUAAAUGAAUGCAGAAAUAGAAUCGUCAUUUCCCAGUCAAAUCAAACAGUCUGGCCUCCAUUAUUUUCCAACUUUUCAUUUCAUAAACGCUAGGCUUUUCAGAUGAUAGCAAUUUCAAAGAAAUCUUAUGCUUUAGCUAUCUUUUUCCGUUUCAUUUCCUCUUCAUCAACUUCCUUCAAUCAGAAUUUUGUGGCCAUCUCCCUCUUAGAUCCGGUGUUCUUCUCUCGUCUCUCCCACCAGGUAUCUUUCUUCCCCUUUUCUUAAUGCCUCUUUCGUUAGGUAUGUGCUUCAACGUUCUCUGUUCUUUGGAUGAAUCGAAAAACAUUUUUUUUGGAAUCGGGUUUUGUUGCUCUGAAUAUCAUCAAUAAUUGCUCCUAGAAUCGAUUUAUCUCUAGCUUUUGUUUUGCAUUUGUUGAUUAUUGUUUUCGAAUCCCCCAUCAUCGUGACUGAGUUUAAGCCCAUGCUUAUGCCUAAUUUGGUUGCCUCUAAACAUGCUAAUGCUUCUGCUACAAAUGGAGAGGAAACGUUGGAGUGAAGAGUAGACUUUGAGACUGUGAUUUCCCCAUUCUGACCUCGGGCUACCAUUCCUGACGCUGAUCUAGAGUUGUUGAUAUCAAAAGCUGCAUCAAACUGUAUAGACUCCCGUAGCUCCACCUCUCUUUGUUCGGAUCUAACGGCCGUAGAGGUAAGUUUUCUUUCUCGCACUCCUUCAAGCUCUAUUAGAUAACUCUGUAUUUUAAAAGCUAGAUCCCUUCCUGAUGUAUACUUCCUCUUGUGGAUCAUUUGAUUUCUCGAGCUCCAGAUAACCCAUAAGGCACAAAAAAAUACUCAGAUCUACUCCUUUGUACCUCUGCUGAAUACCCAGGUGAGCCAUGCCCAUACACUCUGAUCUGCAUGUUCUGUUACCCAUGACAUAUUGAGACUGAUCUAUGCAUCCGUGCUUAUAGGACAUUGCCUAAACACAUGGAAGCUAUCUUCUUCUGCAGAACAGUAUCGUGGACACCUUACAUUAGUGGUCACUCUCUUAUAUCUGAUAUUAACUAGUGAAGGGAUGUAGUUCCAGGAAAUUCGCCAUAUGAGAAUUAGGAUUUUUGUUAGUAAUUGUAAAUUCCAUAAUUUUCUGUAGAAAUCUUUAGUUUCGACCUGUAUUAAAUAGUUAUAAUGAUCCAAGCUAGCUUCUUAUAAUAGUUUGUAGGCACUUCUAACUGUAAAUUCUCCGGAGAGUUCCCCUUUCCACACUUUCAUGUCUUCACAAUCCGUUUUCGCAAGAGGAAUUUGCAGUAUUUUUUGAGAAAUUUCCUUUUGAAAGGUAGUCGAAAUUAACUUUCUUCCACUUCUUGUUUAUGUUAUCAAUAAGAUCAGAAACCACAGCUAACUAACCAUUGUCUCUUUUAUUUUGCCACAUCUCAAGUUCCAUCCCUAGUAUCCAACGAUCAUCCCAUAUAGAUAUUGCGUCUCCUCUCUCGACUCUCCAGAUGAGACCAUCAAGAAGGAGUCCUUUCACUGCCCAAAUACUUCUCUAGGUAAGAGAUGGUAAGUUUCCCAACUGUGAAUUUAGGAAACUGGAUCUUGGGUAAUAUUUAGCUUUAAGUACUCUGGCUAAAAGUGAAUUUGGGUUAUUAAACAAUCGCCAACCCUGCUUGGCUAACAAUGCGAUAUUAAACUUAUUAAAAUUACGAAAACCCAACCCGUCGUUUUCCUUUAAAUAGCAAAGGUUUUUCCAAGAGCACCAAUAGAUUCCCUUUUUUCCUUGAUUCUUUUGCCACCAAUAUCUCGCAACAAUACUCUCCAUUUCUUCACAUAGUGACUUCGGAAGUAGAAAACAAACCAUUGAGUAUGUCGGUAUGGCUUGUAGCACUGCCUUUAUGAAUAUCUCUUUUCCACCUUGCGAUAAAAAACGAGUACUCCAAUUUUCUAUCUGUUGUUCCAAUCUGUCUUUUAAGGCUUGAAAAGAUUGCUUCUUUUUUCGACCUACCAUGUUUGGCAAGCCCAAGUAUCUUUCUGGCUCAUUUGAACUUCGAACUCCCAAUAAAUUGACGAUUAGAUGUCUUUCCUCUUCAAUUAUAUUUUUGCUAAAGAAGACGGUCGAUUUGGAAAAAUUCACACAUUGACCCGAACAUCUUUUAUACCCGCUAAGAAUUUCCUUGAGUACAAAGGCUCCUUUCCUCGAUGCUUCUCCAAAUAAAAUGCAAUCAUCCGUAAAUAGUAAAUGUGUUACCUGUGGACCACUUCUGGUUGCCUUGACUCCCUUUAGAAGACCUUCUCUAGCGUUUAUUCUCAUUAGACUAGAUAGUCCUUCUCCACAUAUUAAGAAGAGAAACGGGCUCAAAGGAUCGCCUUGUCGAAGCCCUCUUGUUGGACGGAAAGUUCUUCCAACACUUACAUUGAGCACUACUUGAUAAGAAACUGUAGACAUGAAAUUCAUGAUAGAGGUGACCCAUUUUUGAUCAAAUCCCAUCCGCAGCAUUGUUUCCUUAAUAAAUCUCCAUUCAACUCUGUCAUAAGCUUUGCUUAUGUCAAGCUUAACCGCCAUGUAUCCCUUUUUCCCCAUUCUUUUUUGUUUAAGUGUGUGCAAUAACUCAUAAGCGAGCAAAAUAUUAUCUGAGAUUAAUUUACCUGGUACGAAGGCACUUUGCGCACUGUCAAUGCAUUUGUCUAUGACACCUCUAAAUCUGUUUGCUAUUGCUUUAGUCAUGAUUUUAUAAAUAACAUUGCAUAAGCUAAUAGGCCUAAAAUGGGUCAUAUUAGAGGGGUUUUUGAUUUUUGGGAUAAGAACAAUAUAAGUUGAGUUAAUUUGACUGACCUCCAUUUCUCCAUUGAUGAGGUGUAGGCAAAAAGCAGCCACCUCAUCUCCUAUAAAGUGCUAACAUUUCUGGUAAAAAAGAGCAGGGAAUCCAUCUUUGCGAGGUGCCUUCGUGGGAUGCAUUUCAAAUAAGGCCUCUCUCACUUCUUCUUUUGUAUAAUUCGCUAUAAGUUUCCUGUUAUCGUCCUCUGAGAUACACCGAUCAAUUCCCGAGAGUAGACGUUCAUAAUUCAUUUGAUUUUCUAAAGAGAACAGAUUUUGAAAAUAGAAUUGUACAAUACCUUUCAUCUCCUGAAUAUCAUUCGUUUCCUGCCCGCUGCUGUUUUGUAGCUUGCUUAUCAAAUUCUUCUUUCUUCUUUGUGUUACUUGACUGUGAAAAAAGGCUGUAUUCCUGUUUCCAAGUUUUAGCCAAUUUAGUCUAGCUCGGUGUUCCCAAUAAGUUUAAUCUUUUUCAAUUUCGAAGUUAAGCUGGAUCUUUGUGUCAAUCAUCUCAGCUAGAUUAGAAUUAUCCCUUUCAGCUUCAAUCAAUGUUGAUAGUUUGGCUGUGAGAAAUUCUUUUCUCCCCUGUUUAUUUCUUUGCACCUGUUUCGCCCAGUUUACAAACCCUUUCUUAAAAGUUUCCAUUUUCUUCAGAAAUUCUCCAGACACCAUCCCCCAUAAAUGUUUAGCUUCAUCGAAAAAUGAGUCUUCCACGAUCCAUGAGGCUUCAAAUUUGAAUUGAUUUGCUUUUUCCCAUUGGUCUUCCUUAUUUGUGUUGACGAAAAUAGGACAAUAAUCAAAAAAAGAGUGUACAAGUGUUCAACUCAUACCGCAGGAAACAUGGAAAUCCAAUUCUUAUUAGCGACACCCCUAUCCAGACGCUCUUGAAUGUUCGUUUCUGGUAAGUUUCCUCUCUCCUAAGUGAACCAUCUACCAGAGUAUCCCACAUUGGAUAGUUGGCAAAAAUCUAAAGCUUCUCGGAACAACUCCAUUCUUCUUUCAUCUCUUGGCAAGCCUCUCUUUUUUUUUUCGAAUUCAUACAUUAUUUCAUUAAAAUCUCCACAGACAAGCCAAGGGGUGUAUUCCUUUUUAUGGAGAUUUUUCAAAACAGUCCAUAAAGCUUCUCUAUCUUGCGCAUAUGGAGUUCUAUAAAAGCCAGUAAAGCGCCAUUUGACAUCUCUUUCAUCAUCAUCCACCACCAUGUCAAUGUGUCUUUUAGAGAAAUUCUAAAGCGUAACAUUGAUAUUAUUUUGCCAUGCUAGACACAAACCUUCUCUAGAGCCCUUCGAAUCAACAUCAAUUCCAUUCCCAAAUCCACAUCUUCGUCUAAUUCUUUCCAUUCGGUUUCUGCAAAGCUUAGUAUCCAUAAAGAAGACAAUUUGGGGAUUAUAAGUCCUCAGCGUAUGCUGAAGCCUUCGAACUAUCCGUAGACUCCCCAAUCCACGGACAUUCUAACUCAGUAUUUUUAUUGCUUCCGGUCGGCUUGCCAUUUGGUAGCCGCCGAUGAUAAAUGAUUAGGAUCCACCAUUCUCCAAUUUGCCAAUAUGUUUCUCAUUUCUUCUCUCCCUGUUAUAUCUUCAUUUUCCCCUCUAGGCCUUUUCGUCCCCUUUUUCCCUACUAGAGCUACAUCUUCUAGAUCCCUGAUCCAUUACAUUAGGGGUUAAAUUCUCCUUUCCUCGUACCGCGUAUAAUGAACCUCCCUCCAAAUUAAAGCCAAGAACUGGAUCAACAGAUUUCCCAUAUUUUAUUUUUCACCCCGGGUGCUUCUGGCCCAUUUUGAGACCUCCAAAUUCUGCAUCAGUUCCUCUGUUAUCGCCAUCUCCUUCCUCCCUUAGCUAGAUAUUGUUUAUUGAUAAUGACUUCCGUGAUUGUGCUCGGAUAGAUAAGUCCUAGCCCAUUUCUGCAAUUUCCAUUCCAAGGUUCAUUUUUGCCUCGCAAAAAAAGUCAUUAUGCUCCAGUCUUCCACAAUAGAAACAGAACAAAGAUAAACGUUCAUAUUUAAAGGUGACAUAUGAACAUUUUCCACCAAAUGAUAUUUUCUUCCUCCUUUUCAAAGGACGCCUUAUGUCGAUUUGAACUCUAAUUCUCAUAAAGUUCUUGUUUUCUUUUCCCAAAUAUGAUACAUCAUGUUCUAUGAAAUUCCCCAAGAAAUUACCUAACUGGGCAGCCAGGAUUUCAGAAAAAAGGCCAAUAGGGACAUCAUGAACCUAAACCCAAAAAGGUAUCAGAACUAGAGGGAGUUGUAGUGGAUCCUCCCCUAAUUCCAAUUUGUAAAGCACCAGCAGAUGGUUAUUAAUGGUCCAAGGCGAACAUUUCAAAACCCUGUUCAUAUCCAUGACAUGAAAGAACUGAAACAAAUACCUUUUUUCUCCCAGAUCACAGAUUCGUACUCCCUUAACCGGAUGCUACAGAUUCGCCAUUGUACUUUUCAUUGCUGGGAAGUGGAUCGUGCUUGCUGUGAGAAAACAUCCUACUAGUUGAGUGGUCUCACCCCUAUUUUCCGUGCUUGGAUCUGUUGGGAUGUGAAUAAUUUCCUCAUCUUCAUCAUUAAUCGACAAUUGGGCUAACUCAUUCUCCAUACUUUGCAGGUAAAAGUUUUUUCAGCUUUUGUGGUUUCACAAUUCCUGUUGCAAGAGAAGGACUUACACAGGCCACAGAUAACAAAGGGGAAAGUAUUAAGGAAAAAACAAAUAAUGAAAAAACUUAAAAACUCUUGCUAGUGGCAGCAGACAAAGGUGUGCUAGGGUAGCAGACUUUUUUUACUUGUGAAUUUGAUAAUGUUUUAUAUUUCAUAUAAUGUUUUUAUAAUUUUUUUAACUUAUAUAACUAAUAUAUAAUAUGUUUUGAAAAUUUUAAAUUUAAUAAUUUUUAUAAUUUUUUAUUUAUUGAAUUUAUAUUUUUUAAAAUGGAUGCCACAUUAUUAAUCGUCAUGUAUAAAGGAAUACCACAUAAUGCAUUCUCAUUGGUUGGGUGUGUCACCUAUCAUUUUUAACACCAUUAACCUCUUUGAACUAAGAUUGUGUUUAGCAAUGCUUAAAAAAAACACUUUUGGCUUAAAAAGUACUUUUGGAAGAAAAUUUAUGUUAAACAAGUAACUUUUGGCCCAAAGGAGUGGCUUUUCAAAAACAUUUUUACUCAAAAGCUAAAUUUUUUAGCUUUUCUUGAGCCAAAAGCACUUCUUGAAACAUUAUUACUUUUUCAUCUCUCUAUUUUUCUUCCCUUAUUUUUCAUUCACUUUAAAUUACAAAUGCUAAUGUAAAUGUUUUAAUGUUUAUAUUUGGUAUAUAAAUAUUAUCCAUUUUUGAAACUUUAAUCUAAAUAUAUGUAAUAUUUUAAUUUGUUAGGUUUUUGUUUUCUAUGUUAUGUUAAUAUUUAAUAUGGGUUAUAUAUUCAAAUUACAUUUUAAAAUAAAAUCAUUAAUUAAAAAAAGUAUUUCUCGAAAUAAUACAAAUGUGUUAAUAUCUUUUUCUUUUUCUUUUUAUUGAAAGAUUAGGCUUUAUUGAUAAAAGAAAUAAAAAAAACAAUGGAAAAGAACUGGCCCAAUCUCAUCGAGCCCAAAACUAAAGAAGCAACAAAAAUCCAAAAACAAACAAAAAGAAACAAACUAGCCUAGCCAAAUAGGAAAAGACCAUCACAAUCCCCUUAAAUGUCGUUUCAAUAACUGAUGAUUUCCUAACCCCCAUUUUGCAGAUAUUUAGAAGUUACAAAAGAAGUUUUCAUCCUUUCUCCUUUCUCCAAGGUUGGAAAAAUUUGCUUCCGAUCCUCCUCAGUCCGACUCUCGCACCCAUUCAACUUCCAUUGUUCUCUUCGCAUAACUCGGGACAACAUCUUCCAAGUAAAAGCUCUCACCAGAUCUCAAACUCUCAUUUGCUAAAAGAUGGGCUAACUAAUUUUCAAAAUGAUUUGCAUGUUUAAGCCUAAUAAAAGUAAAACUGUUUAGCUUCUGUUUGAUGUUUCGGAUGUAGGUGUUUAUUUCAGAUCUAUCAUGUAUAUCGUUGUUGCAUUUCUUGAUGAUUGUAAAUGAGUCUCCCUUUAUAACUGCUUCUGUUAACCCUAUUUCUAAACUCGUUUGUAUUGCCCAUGAACACGCGAGCGCCUCGGUUGCAAAAAUUGUUCCAACAUCGACAUGUAGGAUCGAUCGAGAUACUAAAACUUUGCCUAGAGCAUUCUUAACUACAAUUCCCGAUCUUGAUCUAGAAUGAACCUAAUCAAAGGCCGUGUCAAAAUUUAUUUUAAUUCUCGCUCUUACAGGCGAUUCCCAUUUUCUUUCCUCACCUUUCCUCAUUGAUCUCCAAUUUUCUUAUGUAGGAAGAAAUAGAAUUGGCAAUCUCCCUACUUGUUUCACUGACUUUUUCGUGCACUUCUUGUUUCUCUCUGUCCACAGGCUUCAUAGUGCAACACAAAAUUCCUAGACAUUUUGGUAACCGAACAUUCUUUAACGACCCAGGUAAGCCAAUCAAAAAAUUCCUAGACAAAAUUUGACACCAUUACAUGAAACCCCAAUAACAUCCAGACUUCAAAUGUAACAGGGCAACCACGAAAGAUGUGGUCUAAAUUUUCAGUAGCAUUAUAACAUCUCGGGCAUAUCAUAUUUGACACGAUUCGUUUAUAGUGCAAAUUUCUAAAAGUAAGAAUAUAAUCUUUCAAGAUUCACCAUAUUGUAAUUUUAAUUUUAGUUGGAAGCUUUAAGCUCUAUAGUUUCCUAUAGAAAUCUCUAGCAUUGGUCUUAUCUCAUUUAAAUUAGGGGUAGAAAUACCAGUUUGUAAUAGUUUAUAGGCUCUUCGCACAGAAAAGUCCCCCGAAGGUUCACCUCUCCACAUCAUCACAUCUGCAUAAGGAGUACAAGCCAAAGGGAUUCUCAGUAUUCUACCUAUGUCAACACUCGAAAAGGUACCCAAAUUACAAUCCCUCAUCCAUUCUCUAAUUUCACUAUCACAUAAAUCAACAAGUAUAUAAUUAUCAUUUCUAACCUCAUUGCUUAAUUUAUAAUUAGCUGAACCGGGGAUCCAUGCAUGAUUAACAAUUGAAAUCCUAUCUCCCGUACCCACUCUCCAUCCAAUCCCAUUGCACAACACCUUCUUUGCUGACCAGAUACUUCUCCAAGUAUACAAUGCCUCAUGUCUUAAACUAGCAUUGUAAAAAUCAGAUUGAGGGUAAUACUUAGCUUUCAAAGCUCGUGGUACUAAAGAAUCGGGAUGAUUAAUAAGUCUCCACCCUUGUAUGGCUAAGAGAGCCACAUUAAAUUUCUCGAAACUUCUAAAUCCUAACCCCCUUCCUCUUUCAAAUUGCACAUUAUUCUCCAUCCGCACCAGUGAAUUCCCUUACGUCCAUGACCCUUCUUCCACGAAAAUCUUGCAACAAUACUUUCCAUUUCCCCACACAGAUUUCGACAAUAAGAAAUAUGCCAUACAGUAUGUCGGUAUGGCUUGUAAUACUGAAUUUAUAAAUACUUCAUUGCCCCAUUAGGAAAGAAAUCUCGUACUCUACCUGUCAAUUUUCCUUUUCAUCUGAUCCUUCAAGAUCUGAAAUGAAACUUUUUUAUUUCUUCCCACCACAUUAGGAAGGUCUAGGUAUCUUUUUGGAUUAUUUGAGUAUCAAACUCCCAAUUCCAUCACUAGUUGCAUCCUAACCAUUUCAGAAGUAUUUGCACUAUAAAAAAUCGUAGAUUUUUCAAAAUUCACACACUAACUUGAACAAACUUCAUACUCUUCCAAAACCUAUUUAAAUGCAUGUACACCCCUCUCUAAAGCCUCCCUAAAAAGAACACAAUCAUCUGUAAAUAGUAUAUGUGAAAUUUUAGGUCUAUUCCUACUCACCUUUGGUCCUUUUGUCAGGCCCUCUCCAACCACAAGUCUCAUGAGAGAAGAUAGUCUCUCACUGCAAAUAAGAAAUAGAAAAUGGACUUAAAGUUUCUCCUUGUCUUAAACCUCUAGAAGGUCGAAAAAACUCUCCCAUGAUCCCAUUAAUACUAAUAGAAUAGGAGAUCGUUGAGACACACUUUAUUACCAUAUCCACUUAGGCUUGUGCAAAACCCAUUUAUUCCAUCAUUGCCAUUAGAAAACCCCACUCAACUCGGUCAUAUACCUUGCUCAUGUUUAAUUUUAAAGCCAUAAAUCCCCUUCGUCUAAUUCGCUAAUUUCUAAAAGUAUGUAGUAUCUCAUAUGCAAGCAAUACAUUAUUUGAAAUCAAACGUCCUGACACAAAUACACUUUGAGCACUAUCAAUGCAAACAUUAAGAGUCUUUUGGAAUUGAUUGGCUACAAUUUUUGCAAUUAUCUUGUAUAAAACAUUACAUAAGCUGAUGAGUCUAAAAUUCGUCAUAUUAGUAGGAUGACGGAUUUUUGGUAUGAGAACAAUGUUUGUAACAUUCACAGGGUCAAGAUCCUUACCAUUAUUUAAAACAUCCAAACAAUAGAGGCUUACAUCUCGUCUCACAAUGUGCCAAUAUCAUUGAUAAAAUAAAGCUAGAAAGCCAUUCAAACUUGGUACCUUAGUUGGACCCAUAUCUUUCAAGGCCACAUAGACUUCUUCCUCCGUGUAUGUCCCUAUUAACAUCAAAUUUAAGUUAUCAGAAAUACACAUCCCCACCUCAGACAGAAUAUGAGUUAAUUCACCCAUUCCCUUUGUCGUAAAUAAAUCCUAAAAAAAACCCUUGCAGUUUUUGCCAUCUCCGCUUCCUCCCUAGUAACCCUUCCAUCUUCAUACUCCAAACGUUUAACCAUAUUCUUUUUCAUGCUAUUUGAGGUAUAAUUGUAGAAAAAAUUUAUGUUUCUAUCCCCUAACUUUAACUAAUUGACUCUCGCUCUUUGUUAUUAGAAAGCUUCAUCCUUAUCAAUCUCUCAGUUUAAAUGAACUAGUGUCAAUAAGGUCUACCAAAUUCUCAUCAUCCUGAUCUGAGGCUAACAGUUGCUUCAAUUUCCUAGUCAAAGAUUUUUUCAAACAAUGUUUUUUUUCCUUUAUCUCUCUUUCCCAACUUCCCAGUUCUACUUGAAUACUUUCAAUUUUAGUAAAUAUAUCUCAUUUGAUCGAUUCCUAAACUCAUUUUAUUUCUAUUUCGAAAGACUCUUUCAUUGUCCACCAUGCUUCAAAACGGAAUUUUUUAUUACCCUUAACAUUUCCACCUAUAUUAGUAUGAACUAAAAAUGGGCAAUGAUCAGAAAAAGAAUGGGGUAAGUGUUGAAUACUGGAAUUUGGAAAUCUAUCCAACCACCUAACAUUUGCCACACCUCUAUCCAAUCAUUCCUGAAUAUUUGUUUAUGGUAGAUUUCCUCUCUCCCAUGUAAACCAUAUCCCAGAAUAUCCUAUAUCCAGAAAGCGACAGUCCUCCAAAACUUCCCAAAAUGUCUCAAUUCUCUAUUCAUCCCUUAGAAUACCUCUCACUUUCUUAAAAGAAUACAUAAUUUCAUUAAAGUCCCCGCACACUAACCAUGGAAGAUUUUGGAAAUUCCCCAAAUUCUUAAAGACAUUCAACGGCUCGCUCAUAUUUCGAGCAAACAAAGAUCUAUAAAAACCUGUAAAUCUCCAAUCCCCUUUUUCCACAUCCCCUUUUAUCUCUACAUCUACAUGGUUCAUAGAGAAACUGCGUAAAGUGACAAUUAAAUCCUCUUUCCAUGCCAAACAUAGGCCUCCAUGAGAACCAUCAGCCCCCACCUCAAUCGCAUUAACAAAACCACAUCACGUCCUUACUGCUUCCAUUCUUCUACCAUCUAGUUUAGUCUCCAUAAAAAAGAUCAGUUGGGGAUUAGACAUAUUCAGUGCAUGUCGAAGUCUUUUGACAGCCCGUAUCUCCUCAACCCACGGACGUUCUGUAAUGACCCAAAAUUCACGGGCAUCAGAAAAGUGCAAUAUUGGGCCUCCAUCUUAGUGAAAUGGGUUCGUAAAUAAUUAUUAGAAAUAUUUAUGAGACUAGUGGUGUGCCUAAUUAGGUUCUAAUUAGGUGAAUUUAUCUUAAUUAAGAGUAAUUAGGAAAAAAUGACUAAAGUGAAUAAAAGGUAAAAGUUGAAUUGUAGAUUAAAAGAAAAUAAAAAGGACCAAAAUGGUAAAUAAGCUAUUUAGCAUAAGUUGAGGCGGCAAACAAAGAUUUUUGUUUUGUUUAAUUAAUCUAAAAAAAUAAAUUAGUUAUAAAUUUAAUUAUGUUAAAUUAUAAUAAUUAUAUUAUAAUUAAUAAAAUAAGGACAAGUGUAUGGCGAUGAUAAAACACAUGUGUAAUAAAUAUAUGUAAACAUUUGUAGUAUAAUUAUUUAUUUACUUAUAUUUUAAACUAAAGAUAUUUAUUAUUAAAUUAAUCUAUUAUAAAUAUCAUAUUAUGAAUUGAAUUAAAUUAAAGCCAAGUGUACAGUGAUAAAAAUAUACAAAUGUAAUAAUAGUAUUCAUACAUUUGUAAUAUAUUUAUUUAAUUACUUUAUAAGUAAAUAGAUAUUUAUUAUAUUAUAUUAUUAUCAUUAUUAUUUUUAAAUAAUAUAUAUAAUGAAGUAAAAAAAGAAAAGAAAAGAAAAGAAAGAAAUAAAACAAAGAAGAAAAGAAACAGAGAGCAAUUCGAAAUAGGGGAAAAGAAAGAAGAAAAGAAAAAGAAAAGGAAAAACUAGGGUUUUGAAGCUUAAAGCUUUAAUUGGUAAGUCAAUUAAGUCAUUUUUACUUAAUUUUGAUGUUUCAGAAGCUUUGGAACAAAGUUUUGUUGAAAUCAAGUUGAAAUUUUGGAAAUUCUUAGGUUUUUGAAUAUAGUUCAUGUUGAACAAAUUGAUGAAUUAGGGGUUUAAUUGAUAGAAAUUUUAGUUAGAAUUGAUUAAAGGAUUAAAUUGUAAAGCUAUAAGUUUUGCAUAGUAGGGACUAAAUUGCAAGAAUUUCGAAAUUAGGUAUUUAUGAUGAAAUUUAGAUAGUUAUGUCUAAGUUUGGUUGAAAACUGAGUAGAAAUAAAGUAUGAAUUAAGAUAGGAAAGUAAGUGAAUUUACUUAGGACCAAAUUGAAUUUACGGUAGAAAUUGAAUAGAAAUGGAAUAGGAAAAUUUAAAUAUUAGACAUAAAUUAAUAUUGUAUUAAUGAUUAUGAAAAUUAUCCUAAUUUUUCGUAGCUAAUAUCGCACCCGAGGUAUCCACGAAGAAAGGAAAAAAAAAGUGGACGAGGAGUAGACACGAGAAUCACGGUUUGUAUUAUUAUAAUUCAAAUUUAAUUAUUAUUAAUUAUUGUGUUUUAAUUGAAAUGCAUGGUAAAUAAAUAAGGUAAGAAAUUUGGUAUGAUAAUAUUAUUUUAAAUGGAGUUGAUUUCAAGUGAAUAUGAUUAUUGAAAUUAAGUAUUGAUAUUGAAUUGAAUGAAAUUAGAUUGAAUUGUGAUUAUAUGUGAGUAAUUGAGAUGAAUAUUGAAUUAAGAAAGUGAAAUUGAAAUGUGAUUAUUGAAUAGAAAUUGAAAUGGUUUGAAUUGAAUUAUUGAACUAUUGUGGUAUUGAACUGGAAUAUUGAAAUUGGUGACUGAUAUGGAUUUUAUUGGAAUUGAAUUGAGAAAGUGGAAAUUGAUAUGUGAUGUUGAUGUUGGAAGUGAAUUUGCUUAUCGAAAUUGAAUGAAAUAUCGAUUGAAAUGUGAAUUUGAAGCAAAUGGAAAAUAUGAGAUAUUGUGGUUGAAAUGGCAUUAAUUGAAAUUGAAUUGAGAAAUAUAUAUAUUGAAUACCCUAUUAACUAGUCGGGCUGAGUCGGAUAUAGUUGGCAUGCCAUAGGAUUUGGAAGAGUACGGGAUUUAUCAACUUUGCCGAUCAGGCAUUUUAUGUGUCGUAUAUCAGGAACUUUAUGUGUCGUAUUUUAGGCACCUCAUGUGUCGUUUCAGACACUUAUGUGUCGUAUAUUGAUCAGGUACUAUGUACCGUUUUAGGCAUAAUGUGCCGUAAUGGUGUGUUUGGUUGGAUCCAUGUAUCCGCCAAAGUUCGAGUCAUGUUAAUAGGGGAAAAAUAAAAGAAUUGAAGUAAGAAAUGAUAUUGAAUUAUGAAUUAUGUGAAUAUUUGAAGGUAUAUUGAUUGGAAAUUAAAAGCGAUUUGAAUUGAACUAAAUUGAUUUGAAAUGAGACAUUGAAUUGAGAUGUGAAAAUGAAAUAUAUGAAAUAAUGAUUUUAUGAAAUGGUUAUUGAUGAAAUGCAUGAAAUGGAUAUUGAUAUAGUAAGAAGAUAUAUAAUUUAAAAUGAAGAGAAGCUAUUUAAAAUACAUAUUAUUAAAAUAAAAUUAAAGUUUAAAUGCAUAAUGAUUUAUUAAAGCUAAAAUAGUGGUAAUAUUUAAUGUGUAUAUAUAUUGUUUUUACCUUAAGUAUUUGAAUUAUAGUAAUACCACUGGGUGAAUACUCAACGUACAGUUUGUUUUCGUGCGUAGACUAGAUACAUAAUUUUUUUUUGAAGAGUUGAAUUUGAGAUUGCAAGCUUUCAUCUCAUCACAUCUUCAAGCAACAACAGGGUAUGUUUUCAAAUUUUGAAUAGAAUGACAUGUACUUAGGAAAAAUAUUAAGUAUGUUCCAAGUGUCCAUUUUUAUGUUCAAAUAUAUUAGUAAUUAGCCAAGAAUUAAUUUGGCACCAAAUGUAAUAUUCCUAUAUCAAGUUCCUUGAGUCGAACAUGGUAUAUGGGUGUUACACGUUCCAACUUAGGAGUUUCACUGUGACUGGUUGGCUUGCCCGUCGAUAAAUAAUGAGGUUUAAUUACCAUCCUUCCUUCCCUUCCUUUCCCAGAGUCAACUAUUCCCGACCCUUGUCGGAAAACUCCUUCCCAUCGUGGUCGUUUUUUCCCUUCACCCCCUCCAAAGGACAUUCCUCAGAAUCAUGUUCCAUUUCUAUUUGACCUAACCCACCAUUUGAUUCUCCUUCCAAAUUAACCCCUAACACAAGAUUAACCUUUUUUGACAUUGCUCCUCCACAUCCUUUUCCCCUUCUCCUUUUAGCCAAAUAAUGUUCACUACUAGAGCCCUCCUUGAUUGAGUACGUAUAAACAAAUCCCAUCUCGUUCCCACUAUAUCCGUUUCGGACUCCAUCCUAAUUUGGUAGCAAGAAUCACCGUGACCUAGACAAUCACAAUAAAAGCAAAACAAUGUUAGUCGUUCAUACUUGAAAUUGACAUAUGAACAGAUACAUGAGGAGAACAUCAACCUCUUCUUUCUUUUCAGUAGUCAUCGUACAUCAACUAAUACCCGAAUUUGCAUAUAGUUGAUAAAACCCUGCUCUAAACUUUUUGUAUCAUACUCCAUAAAAACGCCCACAAAAUCUUCCAAUUGUCUUGCUAUUCAUUCAGAGAAAAAACUCGGGGGCAACUCAUGGACUUGGACCCAAAAAAAACUGAUAAUAAUGGAACUUUUAGUGGGUCCUCCCCCUCUACCAUACAAUGCAACACCAAAAGCUGGCUAUUAAAAGUCCAUGCGAUCCACUCUGCACUCUUUCCAAAUCCAUUUUAUGACAAAUAUGAACAAGAAUCGUUUUUCUCCCUGAUCUGAGAUUUGUACUCCCUUCAUGGGAUGCCACAAAUUUGUCAUUGUACUCCUUAUUGUGAGGAAGUGAAUUACUCUUGCAGUGAGAAAACACCCAACCAAACACAAAUCAUAAACCUCAUUCGUCGCUUCUGUGUCACUACUAAUUGCUAAGAUCUCAUCCACAUCGUUUUCUAACGUAAUAUUUGCCAGGUCAUUCUCCAUGUUUCCACCGUCGCUCUCCAUACUAACGUUCAAAAAUAAAAUGCACUUAAAAAACCCUAAAAAAUCAAAACUUGCUGGAAUAGCAGACAAAUACGUGCUAGCACAACAAACUAACCCAAAAAAUCAUUAUUGUAUUAAAUUAACCCACAAAUGUGUUAAUAUCUAAUUACAAAUAUUUAAUGGUUAUAUAUAAAUAUUUAAAAUAUAGUUUAUAUAUUCUAAUUAAAUUUUAUAAAUAAUUAAUAUUAAUUGCUUAAAAAUAUUUAAAAUUUAUGUUUCAUAUAUUAAAACAUUAACAACAAGUUAUAAUAAAUUUUUUAUUUUUGUUAAAAUAUCAUAAUAUUAGCUAAUUUGAACAUUAUUUAAAUGUAUAUUUGUUACUUCAUAAUACUAUGUCUAAAAUGAACAUUUUAUUUCUCAGAAGUACUUUUUGACAACAAUACUAGACACUUAAAUCUUAAACAAAACUUUUUAAAAGUAUUUCUUAAAAACACUUUUCCACGGUACUUUUGAAAAACACUUUUUAAAAGUACUUCUAAACUAGCCCUAAAAAUUAUUACAAAGUGAUAGUUUAAGAUACCAAAAUGUGACAAAAAAAAUGUAGAUGACAAAAUGAGAACACUUAUAAUUUUAGGGCGAAAAUAUGACAUAAACCACAUCAGAUAUAGGGUGAGAGUACAUGACAGGUCCCUCUAUUAUAAGAACCAAUAGGAAUUAAUUAUUCCAUUAUUAAAUUGGUUACUUUAAUUCAUGUACUAUUAAAAAGAAGGCUUAAAACAACAAAAUGUAACUUAAACUAUACCCAUUUUCUCAAGUCCGUACCUUAACUUUUUUUGUUACAAGCGAUACCUACAGUAUAUUCUAUUACCCAAAAUGGUACCUAAUUAUACACCGUUACCCAAAUUACCUCAACUAUUAAAAAAAUUCUCUUAGCCAAUCAUUUUCUGACAUGUGGUAAUUUUUAAUUAAAAAAUCCAAAAAAGUUAAAUAUUAUUUCCUUAAGUUUUUUUUUUGAAAAAAAAAUUUAUAAACAUAUUAAUCUCUUUUGUUCUUCACUCAAUAAUUCUAGUGACGAAAAAUUCAAGAACUCGCCGAAAAACUCAUCCAAACCCAUUUUUAGCAACAAAACUUGAUUUCUAUGAGCUUUUUUUUCCUUUUCAAACCCUGAUUUUGGUUCCAUUCUCAUCCCAAUUCAAAAUCUAUGUAUUAUUUUUCUUAAAAUUAACUUUUUUUUUCAUUUUUUAUUUAUACUUUGCAUAAAAUCAUUAAUGUUUGGUGAAUUUCUAUAAUGAAAAAAGACACCAGAUAAAGCAUGAAAUCCAAAUACAAAGAAGAAGCUAUUAGAAAAAAGGUAAGAUGAUUGGGGAAAAAAAUCAUUUGCUAAUUAAAAAAGGUUCAUUAAAAGACAAUAAAGAAGUGUAGGGAGGUAGAGAGUUAAAAAAAAGUUAAAAGUUUUAAUUCAAUUAAAGAAAAAUUAUCUCAUACAUCACUGUGGAGUUAUUUCAUAAGCGAGUUGAAAGUGUUACAUAUGUCUUGCAAGGUACAUUAAAAAAAUAUAAAGGAAAAAAAAAACAAGUUGGAACUAGAUUUUGUCGCUGAAAAUUGAGUUCAGAUGAGUUUUUCAACAAGUUCUUGAAUUUUCUAUGAUCAAAUUUCUUUCACAGAUAUGCUUAUAAGUUUUUUUUAAAAAAAAAAGUUGAAGGAAAUAAUAUUUUAAUUUUGAGGAAAUAUUUAGUACAUUUUCAAUGAAAUUUAAAAGUUCCACAAGUAGGGUUGAGUUGAUAAGUUUAUAUAGGAAAUAGUAAAAAAAUUAAAUAUAUAGAAAAGGAAUGAGACACGUGGCAAUUUUAUAACUCUACUUGUGGAGUUUUUUUAGUUAAAAAUUGCCAAAUACUCACCCUUUAACUUUUUGAGGAUUUUUUUAGUUAAAAAUUGCCAAGUGUCACAAAAUGAUUAGCUAAAAGAUUCUUUUUAACGAUUAAGGUAAUUUGGGUAACAGAGUAUAGUUUAGGUACACUUGUGACAAAGAAAAAUUUUAGGUACCAACUUGAGAAAAUGAGUAUAGUUUAGGUAUUAUUUUACAAUUUAAGCUUAAAAAAGAAUAAAAUAAGGCUAAAUUUUUACAUAGUCAAUGUUGAGGAAGUUUUGAGAUCAAUUACAACAUUAUCUUAGUUAUUUUCUUGUAUCUUUUGAGGACAUUGUACAACUAAUCUCGUGACUAUAAUUGGAGAAGAAAUUGGAUAAAGUAAAAUUGCUUUUGAAGGAUCCUAAUUUAAUCUACUUAUCUUAUAUAUUGAGACAUGCAAUUUAAGAAGACAUGGGCUGAAUUUAUGAAGAUUUGUCUCAAUUCUUUGUAUCCUUUUAUUAAAGGUCAUUAAUUGGAGGAGAUUUGGGUAAAUCAUAAUGGAUUAAAGUUUUCUUUGUGAAGUUGAAUUCGUGCUCUAUAUAUGAAAGCCUUGUUUAACAUUGAAAGAGGUAGUUGUAUUGAAACUAUUAUGAGAGCAGUGACACGAGUAGUUACAAUUGCACUUGGCACUAUUCAUAAAUUAUAACUUGCCUUAUUCGGAGUUGGCAAUAUUUUGAAUUGAAAUAGUUAGAUAAUGACUUAGAUGAUAUUAGAGGCAUGUGUUGACCCGUAUUUGAAUAUUGAUCUUGUGAAGCAUCAAAUCUUUGAAGUUUGGGUCGACCUGGAUCAAGCAAAUUAGAUCCUCUAAUUUGUGAGAUUGACUUGACUAACUUGAAGACAUAUUUUGGAUAUAUUUAAUUUAUUCUAAAUUUUAUGAGGAUAUUUGCAAAACCCUUUUAUGAGGCUAUUUUUGUGGGAUCUUAAUUGUAAUUUACAGGUACCUUAGCAAGCCUUAAAACUCUUAUAUAUUAUAAGCUUGCUUAGUUUGAAUAUUAGGAGAGUUGACACAUAUUUUGUUUAGUAAGAAAUUUUUUAGAAUGUGCACUUUUGUAAGUAAACAAGUGAGUCAUUUGGUUUUACAAACUAAGUUUUCAAGGAGGAAAUCUAGUGGAGAGAGAUCUAGAUCUUAGGUGCAAAAGUGAGGUUUCUAUAUCGAUGUGUAAGAGAACUUAAAUAACUAUUUGUAUGAGGUUGAAGGUAGCGGAUCAUCUUUCCAGGCAAGACCUCACAGACAUAUGAAAAUUGAAUUGCGUAAACAAUUGCAUCAUGUCCAUAUUUGUUCCUUUGUAGUUCCACUUGUAGUUGGCACUAUUCAUGGCAUUGCUCUUAUAAUUGUUUGUAAAAUUUCAAUUAAUAUUUAUUAUUUAAAAAAUGUCAUUAUUGUUUAAUAGAGUUAAUAUUUUUAAGGCCUUUAUGAUUUUGCAAAUAAAAUCUUUUGUUUGGUGUUGAAUUACAAAUGAAAAUAAUAAUUUUUGUUAUAUCAAUAAAGUUAUACAAAUUGUUUGAACAAUACUUACAUUGUAGGGAGUGAAGAAAGCAACUAAGAUGAAGGUGGUUUACAUUGUAGAAGGUGUAAUGAGCCACUGUAAAAGGUGGUUCACACUUUUAGAGAUGUUGAGGAUGUGUUUGUGCAAAGUGGUGAAACUAUAGACGAUAUUGGGUCUCUUAUUCGUUCUCUCUCCUUGCCUUAUUUUGAAAAGGGGUAUUUAUAGAGUACGGUUGGCUUGGUGUGGGUCUCAACCAUGAAACACUCUCUUACAAUUAAUGUGAGUAGAGUAGCAGAUGUUAGCCUAGAGGUACUGUUUGAGUCGACUUGAGAGGAUUAGACGAUGCAUUCACUAGGUCAGGGAGGUGACGAAUUAACGAGUGUUGAUAGAAACUAUUCCCUAAAUACCUUUUGGUGAUAGUGUAAGCCUACCUCAUUUGAUGUGGUGUUUUGGUAAGUCUAUUCUCCUGGCAAGGUCACAAGGUCGAGCUUCGUCUUAAUUGUUGAGUGGUUUGAUGAAGGUUUUAUGGCAAUGGUAUAACAAUUUCCAUCUUUUUUGUUUUCAAAAUUUAAUUUUAUAUCUUCUUUUGAUAAAUCAUGAAUUAGAGAGUGAAAUUCCACACAAAAAAAAAUUAAUUUGUUAUAGCAACUUGGAAAGUCAUGUAUUUUAAUAUGGAAAAAGCAUGUUUAGAUAUAGAAUCUAUUCACCCGAAUAUACAAAUUGAAGAAUAAAAAAGGGAAAUGGUGGUUCUUUCACGAAGAUCUUGUUAGCUGUUUGACUUUAUUAUUUAAUUAUUUAAGGAAUAUUAAGUUUUUUAACUUUACAAUUUUUUUAUAUUCUUAAAUAUUAAAGAAAAACAAAUGACGAGUUUUUUAACUUAAAAAAUGGAAACUUUGCUGCACUAAAUAAUUAUUUAUGAUUUAACAUUGUUGUUUGAUGAAUUAAUAGGAGAGUGUCGAUAAUUUCAAGUCCCACAGGUUAAAAUUGCUGAUCAGAUUUGUUUAUCUUCAACUUCAAAUCUUAUUUCUAUUAAUUUAUAAUUGAUUCCGCUAAAAGAAAAAGAGAGUAAAUGAAACUAAAAAAAUAUUACUCAUUUUUAUUUUAAAAUAUAUCUGAAAUCCAAAGUUUUCAUUUCCAAUGAAUGGAUAAAAAAGAGUAUUAUUUCAUAUAAAAAGUUUGGGUUAAGAUAUAUAAAUCAGUAAAACAUUAUCACAUUUAUUUGUAUAUCUAAUAAUUACAGGCUUAGGACCAUAUGCCAAUCAGGCGGAUACGGUGGAACCGACCGUUUACGAUCAUGUGAUCACAUGCAAAAUAUCGUCUUUUUAUUUUAGUCUUUCUUUUUUAAGGAAAAAAAAAAACAAUAAUUCAAAGAAUUUGGUUAUGAAUUAUAAUAAUUGUUAAAUAAAGGGUAAACGAUUAAAAUAGUCACCAUUGUUUGUCUCAGGUUAUGCUUUUGUUAUUUAUGUUUGAAAUAUUGUAAUAUUUUAAUCACCAAGUGUUAAUUGCCGUUAACAAUGUAGCGAUAAGCUGACGUGACAUGUUAAUGCGUUAGUUCAAAUGAAAUUUUUAGGUUAAAUUAUACAAUUAAUCCUUAUAAUUUUUUCAUUUUGAGCAAUUUAAUUUUUUCUUUUAUGUCCUUUGAAUUUUCCUCUUUUUUUUUUCUUCUUUUUUCCCAUUCUCUUCUUUUUCUCCCUUUGUUUUCCUCCAUUCUCCAUUUCUUUUAAGGUAGUUUUUCUAUGUUUUUCAUUUGUUAAAAUUAGUCCAUAUACUUUUAUUUUUUUGAAUAAUUUAAUUUUUUUCUAUUUCUUUAUUUUUCCUUUUCUUCUCCCCCUUUAUUUUUCUCUCUUCUCAUAUUUUUCACUGCAAAAACAUAAUCUUUGCCCACCAAAUAAACCAAGUCUUAUUUCUUUCACAUGAUUCCUAAAUUGAAUUUCACUCAAAACCGAAUAUCAAUCCUUCUUAAUCAAAUCUCGAUUUGAAUAUAACCUAAUUUUGAAACUAAAAUUGAAUCUAACUAAUCAAUAUAAAAAACCAUAUCCUUAAUCAAAUCUAAACAUAAAUUGAACUCUUUAUAUUCAAAACAAUUUUUUUUCGUUUCCAAACUUUUACAAAAUCAUGUACGUUAUUCAUUUUCUUUUCCUUCAUUUUCUGAUGAAUAAAAUUAAGCAAACGAUGAAAUUGAUCUAAACCUUCUUGGAUAUUCCCAAGCAAGCUUGAUUGGAAGUUGAGCAUGGACGAACCAAAGAGAGAAAUGGAGCAUGGAACCAAAUUGGUUUGGGUAAAGUGGAGGGUAAGUUUCGCAUGGUAGUCGUUUGUCAUUGAGAGUGUAGAGCUCGUUUGAAGAAUUUGUGAAACAACGUAGUUUCAAGAGGACAAGAAUGUCGUAUGUAAGAUAGAUAAGGUGGUUGUGGGGGUUGGUUAGGAGGUUAAGGUAAUGGGCACGGGAAACUUUGUUGAGGGUGGACUGCCAUAAGUCACGACUGGUGAGGUCUUUGAGUGAGGCGAGCUUGUGGACUAGGUCAUUAGGAGAUCCAAAUUGGUUCGUUAAAACGAUGAUGAACGAUGAGGGUUUGUAAUUGUAGGGUGAGAAUAUGCGAAGCAAGUUUUAUUUUGCUUUUAGCUUUUGUCUUUUCUUUUUUCAUAAACAUAAAAAAAUUAACAAAUGAAAAAUAUAGAAAAACUACGUUAAAAGAGAUGGAGAAGGGAUGAAAACAGAGGGAGAAGCAAAAGAGAAUGGAAAAUAAAGAAAAAAAAGUUAAAAGAACAUAAAAGAAAAAAAAAUUAAAUUGCUCAAAACGAAAAAAAUAUGGAGACCAAUUGUAUAAUUUAACCUAAAAUUUUUGUCUGAAAUGAUGAUUUAACAUGCCACGUCAGCUUAUCGUUACACUGUUAAAGACAAUUAAUGGCUCAAUAACUAAAAUGUUACAACACGUUAACGUAAGUGACUAAAACGUAACAUUCCAAACAUAAGUGACUAAAAUAUUACCUAAGAUAAACAAAAAUAACUAUUUUAAUAGUUUACCCUUAAAUAAAGGUAUGUGGCAGUCAUAGAUCAUUCCGUGCAUGAAAUAAUUUUUAUUUUAUUGCACAAAGUUAUUUAUUUUUACAAAAGAGAUUUAAUAUCGAUAUUAUGAUUUGAAUUCAAUUCACAAAGAUUUAUGAAUUUUUCAUAGAUUUAUUUAUACAUUGAAUAAUGAUAAAUUUUAUAUUUAGAGUUACUUUAAUAUAGUUUUCGUAGUAUUUUAUAAAGUAAUUUUAGCUUUUAAAUUAGGUUUGUUACAUUUUAUAGUUUUUUUGGAUUAAUUAUAUUUUAUUUGAAUUUUACUUUUAUUUUAUCAUUUUUAGAGUUAAUUCAGAUUCACUUGUAUGCCAUGUUAUGUACCCAUCCAGAUGUCUCAUAUGCCUUAAGUAUGACGAGCAGAUACCAAAUAGAUCCCGGUGAAGGUCACUGGACCACAGUUAAGAAUAUCCUUAAGUACUUGAGAAGAACUAAGGAUACUUUCCUAAUAUAUGGAGGUGAGGAAGAGUUAAGUGUAAAAGGUUACACUGAUGCCAGCUCCCAAACCGAUAAGGACGAUUCUCGAUCACAAUCAGGUUUUGUGUUUUGCCUUAAUGGUGGUACUGUGAGCUGGAAGAGUUCAAAGCAAAGUACAGUAGCCAAUUCUACAAUAGAGGCCGAGUAUAUUGCAGCUAGUGAGGCAGCAAAAGAAGCGGUUUGGAUCAAAAAGUUCAUUACUGAACUAGGGGUUGCGCCUAGCAUAUCAGAUGCUAUAAAACUCUGAUGUGAUAACAAUGGAGCCAUUGCACAAGCUAAAGAACCUAGAUCUCACCAGCGAUACAAACAUAUACUUAGGCACUACCAUCUUAUUCGAGAGAUUAUCGAUCGAGGGGAUGUAGAGAUAUGCAGAGUACCUAUAGAUGAUAACAUUGCUGAUCCCCUAACCAAGCCUCUGACACAGCAGAAGCAUGAUCGUCACUCUAAGUCGCUUGGUAUUAGAUAUAUAAGUGAUUGGUCUUAGUGCUAGUGGGAGAUUGUUAGAGUAUGCCCAAAGAUCAAUCAUGAGAUGGUUGUAAUAACAUACUUGAUUUAUCAUGUUUAUUAAUAUAAGGCGUUACCAUUAUUAUUUCAGUUUCUUUUCUGUGUGUAUAAAUAAACUGUUUUAUAAUAAUGUCCUAAGAAUAAUAUGAUUAUUCUUAAAAGUUCCUUAGUCAAGUAUUAUUCUUGGAUAGGACAACGAUAAUGCAUUAAGACUAACAUGUAGUUGGUUGAUGAUAAAGAGUUGUCAUUGAUAUGGAAUGUCAGAAUCGAUGCAUGAAUAUGUGUGUUAGAGAACAACAUAUUGGACUGACCCGUGAUGAGUAUGUUUCUUGGAUUAUUAUGUAAUUAUCACAACAUUACUCAUAGUGAUUAAUAUGUAUAUGAUCCUCAGACUUGAGAUCAUCAUAAUCCCAACAUCGUGAGUUGUAUAUUUUGAUACAGUCAAACGUACACCGUAACUGGUUGUUCUAUAAAGGCUGAUGUUGGAUAUACCACGAUUUAUGUAGAGGGAUAUGGUUGAUCGAGAUAGGAUAAGCCCCUCCUACAUAAUGGGAGUAAUAUCUUAGGCCACUUGAUUGAGUGGGAAUAGAAAUGCAUGGCCAUGGUCAAAUAAGUUGAUAUGAGAUGUCAUACUUAUUUGUAUAUCGUAGUCUGCUUAAGAUAUCAAGGAACAUGGAAUGGACUAUGCAAGUGUGACUAUUCUAUGACUUGUGUCCAAUCCAGAGAUAAAGGACUUAAGGAUUAUUGCAUAAAAGGUUAAUCAUAAAAGGUUAUAUCGAAUCAUGAUUUCUUGUGACUUAGGUAGCAAUGAUGCAUUGCUAGAUGCCACUCAUCGUUUGUAACAUUAGAAUCGUUCUAGUAUUACUACUAACGUUACAGGAACCUACAGGGUCACACCUUAUAGAUGAAAUGAACGAAAUAAAACAUAGUUGGUAUUGUGUUUGGUUGUCGCUUGAAUUAAGAAUUAAUUUAAUUGGGUAAUCAAAUAUCGAGCACAUUAUGUACAAGGUUGUUGUACGCAUUAUGAGAACAUGAAUUUGGUUAGUACAUAAAUUCAAAUAAAUAUAUGGUUUACCGAAAUUAUAUUAUAAUUAAUGUAAUUAUAAUUUUCGGUUUAAAAUAUUAUUAUAUUUAUUUUAAUUUCUAGAAACCCUAAAAAAAGAUAUAUAAGAAUCCCAUUUUUUUCUUUGCUUGGGUCUAGCAGCCGUCAAAGAAAAUUCUUUUCAAAACUGUUUUGGGGAUUCAUUCCGUUCAUAAUCAACUGGGUGGAUUACGUAGAGGCUGGGGUCACGAUAGAUUGCGGUUUGGUUCGAUAGCAGAUCAGACUACUCGUUGUUGAGGCGUUGCUGUCUACUCAGAAUAAACAUUUAGUAAUUUCGUAACCAUUAUCACCCCGAUUCGUUCCUCACAUAUGGAUCCGUGGUUAGGGUCGCCGAAUUUUUAUUCUGAGUAGACAGCAACGCCUCAACAACGAGUAGUCUGAUAUGCUAUCGAAUCAAACCGCAAUCUAUCGUGACCCUGGCCUCUACGUAAUCCACGCAGUUGAUUAUGAACGGAAGGAAUUGCCAAAACAGUUUUGAAAAGAAUUUUCUUUGAUGGCUGCUAGACCUAAGCAAAGAAAAAACGGGAUUCUUAUAUAUAUAUUUUUAGGUUUUCUAGAAAUUAAAAUAAACAUAAUAAUAUUUUAAACCGAAAAUUAUAAUUACAUUAAUUAUAAUAUAAUUUCGGUAAGCCAUAUAUUUAUUUGAAUUUAUAUACUAACCAAAUUCAUGUUCUCAUAAUGCGUACAACAACCUUGUACAUAAUGUGUUCGAUAUUUGAUUACCCAAUUAAAUUAAUUCUAUAAUUAAUUUAAUUCAAGCGACAACCAAACACAAUACCAACUAUGUUUUAUUCUGUUCAUUUCAUCUAUAUGAUGUGACCCUGUAGGUUCCUGUAACGUUAGCAGUAAUGCUAGAACGAUUCCAAUGUUACAAACAAUGAGUGGCAUCUAGCAAUGCAUCAUUGCUACCUAAGUCACAAGAAAUCAUGAUUCGAUAUAACCUUUUAUGCAAUAAUCCUUAAGUCCUUUAUCUCUGGAUUGGACACAAGUCAUGGAAUAGUCACACUUGCAUAGUCCAUUCCAUGUUCCUUGAUAUCUUAAGCAGACUACGAUAUACAAAUAAGUAUGACAUCUCAUAUCAACUUAUUUGAGCAUGACCAUGCAUUUCUAGUCCCACUCAAUCAAGUGACCUAAGAUAUUACUCCCAUUAUGUAGGAGGGGCUUAUCCUAUCUCGAUCAACCAUAUCCCUCUACAUAGAUCGUGGUAUAUCCAACAUCAGCCUUUAUAGAACAAUCAGUUACGGUGUACGUUUGACUGUAUCAAAAUAUACAACUCACGAUGUUGAGAUUAUGAUGAUCUCAAGUCUGAGGAUCAUAUACAUAUUAAUCACUAUGAGUAAUGUUGUAACAAUUACAUAAUAAUCCAAGAACAUACUCAUAACGGGUCAGUCCAAUAUGUUGUUCUCUAACACACAUAUUCAUGCAUCGAUUCUGACAUUCCAUAUCAAUGACAACUCUUUAUCAUCAACCAACUACAUGUUAGUCUUAAUGCAUUAUCGUUGUCCUAUCCAAGAAUAAUACUUGACUAAGGAACUUUUAAGGAUAAUCAUAUUAUUCUUAGGACAUUAUUAUAAAACAGUUUAUUUAUACACACAGAAAAGAAACUGAAAUAAUAAUGGUAACGCCUUAUAUUAAUAAACAUGAUAAAUCAAAUAUGUUAUUACAACCAUCUCAUGAUUGAUCUUUAGGCAUACUCUAACAGGACACUGGAUGGUGUAAUGCUAUGAAAAAGGAGAUUCGUGCCCUGGAGGAUAAUGACACCUGGUCUAUGGAGACACUUCCUCUUAGAAAGAAAGUUUUGGGUAGUAAGUGUGAUAACUUGUUCAUUUUUGCAUAUUUUUCGUUUUUAACUUAACUUGUUCUUGAAUUAGUUCCUGUUAAUUGGUGAAUUUUGUGUUUAAAUAUUGCCAGGGAUGAAAUUCGGGUGCUUUAAAUCAAAGACAAGCAAAUAAUGGAUUAACUUGAAGCAUGAGAUAUAGAACAUGGAUCGAAUUGUAAAUUUGGGACAUUUGAGGGGCUAGUUAGAUUUAUGUAAUUAGUGGUAGGUGGAACAAGCCUAAAAUUAGCAUAUGGUUUAUGUAUAAAUAGGUGGUGUGGUACACUUGAAAGAUCACACCUUUGCUUGGCAAUUGAAUAGAAAUUAAUUUAUUUUCUUUCUUAUUUUGUGUGAAAGAGUGCAGGCAUUCUACCAACUUUUAUUUCCAUUUCAAUUUUUAGCUUAAUUGUUUCCCAAGCCUCAUUUUAAUCUUUCACCAUUUCCAUUGAAAUCCACUUCCAUAACCAACCAAAGCAUGAAUAAAUUCAUGUUUCGUUAAAUUCAAAUUAGCUUUGGUCUGGUACUUUUUCUGGUCAAGAAUCAUGAAAAAUGUAUCCGCACUAAAAAUCUUUCAAAUCAGUAUUCACCAUCUCUUCGAAAUAUUAAGAUUGACAAAUUUAUCCCUUAAAGUUAACUCGAUUUUAAAUCAAAAGGCUCGUUGGGUUGAAGUCAUUUUGGCGUAUAGUUAGAAAGACGAGGUUGUGCUAUAUCUGGAUUUCUGUAAACAAGUUAAGGGAGAUAGUGAUCAGAUUUAAAUGUCCCACGCGGUUGAGGCCGUUAACCCGAGUUGGUUCUUCUGAAUGCAAGUAUACCGAAGUCUUGAAUCGCGAAUACGUGUAUCACAAUUAGAUAAUCAGUAACGGUUGGUUUGUAGGGCGUAUCGAAAUAAACUACGAGAGGAAGAAUUAGUGGUUAGGACGUUCUUAGCCGCUAUAACCAGCUUAUUAUUUAGAGGAAAAAAACUAAUUUUGAGGAUUGAUUCAGAGACCAGACUCAUUGAGUUUAGAGCUAAGGCUUUAUAAUUUUGUUUGCAAAAUCCAAAUUCAUUUUCUAAUUUAAUUUUACUUUUGAUUUCUUUAAUUGCUUAUUUCUGCAAUCUUAAUAAUUUAAUUUCUAGAUAUUUCCAACUCCUUUAAUAUGUUUAAUUUAUUUUUAAGCAGGCCCGUUUGGAGUCGUGAGCACGACUAUUGCCACGAUUAUUGGCUCAAUCGAAAUUCAUAAGAAAAACACUGAAGUUGAUCAUAAUAUUCAAUCCCUGUGGACCCGACCCUACUACUCUUUACUACUGUUUAGAGUUAUUGUAAUUUAGGAAUUAUAUUUGGUGGUUUCGCAACCCAUCAAAUUUUGGUGCCGUUGCUAGGGAUUGGAAAUAUUUUUCUAACUUUUUUUUUGUUUUCCUUAUGACCAGAUCAGAACUAAGGUGUCUAGAAUUUGAAACAGAAAUAGAGAAGUUGGCUCAAAAACUGCGAAGAGAAGCCAUUUGACGUAGUAAAUUCCAGGUUCAAAAUCAUAUCUUACACCGAGGACAUUUUCUGCUUCAACGAACCAGACGAGAUGACAGAACAAACUAUAUGCAAACUCAUAGCAGCCCAAAUGAACAACAACCCCUAUGUAUAACUUAUUUGGCAGGAGGAACGUCGUUCGAGUUGAAAUCGGGCCUGAUUCAUCUAUUUCCCACCUUUCACAGGUUACAAAAUGAAAAUCCGCAAACCCAUCUCAAAGAAUUUCAUAUGGUCUACACAAGCAUGAAGCCUCAAGGAGUAACUGAUGAUCAAAUUAAACUUUGUGCUUUUCCUUUCUUGUUAGUCGACUUUAAUAGAGAAUAACUAUUUUAUUUACCUCUGGGUCUGUCAAUACAUGGUCUGACAUGUCUCGUUUAUUUCUUGACAAUUUUUUUCUAGCAGCUUGAACAGUCGUAAUAAGGAGGGACAUUGUAGGAAUCUGUCAAAAGGAGACUGAAUAGCUCUAUAAUUACUAGAAGCGGUAUAAAAAGUUGUGUGCAAGUUUCCCACAACAUGGAUUGACUAAAUAGUCAUUCUUGCAGUAUUUCUACGAGGGGUUGUUCCCGAUAGAAUUAAAAAUAAUAGAUGCUACAACUAGAGGGGCACUUGUUACUAUGACUCCUCAGGGAGCACAAUAAUUGAUUUCGACAAUGGCUACGAACUCUCAACAAUUUCGACCGACUACAGAACCUACGAGACUAGUUUAUGGGUUAAGUUCUCUAUUUCUAGAAGAUAAAAUUGAUAAGCUAACUAAUGUUAUUCAAAAUUUACUUAUAGAUAAAAAACCCUAGCACGGUUGUUCGAAAUUUGCACUAUGCCAGACCACCUAAUAGACUCAUGUCCAAUUUUACGUGAAAACUUGACAGAACAAGCAAAUGCUGUUGAAAACUUUCUAGGGCCACCCUAAAGGUGAUAUGAUCUCUACUCGAACACAUAUAAUGUGGGGUGGAAAGAUCACUCAAAUCUAAGUUAUGGGUCAAAUUCUCGAUUCAAUCAACCUUACCAACAAAGGCCACCUUCGAAUCAACAAUUACCACCCCCAAAGUCAUCUUUAGAAGCCAUAGUGGAAAUGCUAGCAAAUAGUACUUAGAAGUUUGAACAAAAAAUUGACAUGCAUUUGCAGAAGUUAGAUAAGCAAGUGAGCAACUUGUGCUCAUAGUUAGCCAUUUGGAGUUCUAGGGUAAGUUUCCGUCCCAAAUUGAACCUAAUCAUUGACACAAUACAAGUGUUAUGACAUUGAGGAGUGGGAAGGUUUUAGAACUCAUACCUGGCACGAGUCAUGCCUAGGACAUAGAUUGAGACAAGAAGAAAUUUGAAUCAAAAGUUCCAAUGGAGUCGGUACCACAAAAACCAUUUACAAUACCACUUUCAUUUCCUGGAAAACUUGUCCAAUGUAAGAAGGAGCGAGAAGAGAAUGAGAUCCUCGACACCUUCCGAAAGGUAGAAAUCAACAUUCUUUUUCUUGAUACGAUUAAUUAGAUUCCACGAUAUGCAAAAUUCUUAAAAGAAUUAUGCAUGAGUAAGAGAAAGCUCCUGGACAAUGAAAAUAUGAGUGUCGGAGAAAAUGUCUCCAUAGUUCUACAAAAAAAAAUACCGCUGAAAUCUAAGGACCAAGGUAAUUUUCCAUAUCUUGGAAAAUAGGUAGUGUGAGUAUUUAAAAAGCCAUGUACGACCUAAGUGUAUCGAUUAACGUUAUGCCUUUGUCCAUUUAUAAACUACUAAAUGCGGGUCAUUUAAAGGAAAUAGAUGUAAUCAUUUAGCUUGCAGAUUGGUCAGUAGUGCAUCCGGAGUUAGUCCUAAAGGAUGUUCUUGUCAAGGUAAACGAACUAAUUUUUCUUUUAAAUUUCUACAUCAUCGACAUUAAGGAUAGUAACUCGGCCAAUUCUUUCGAUAUACUAUGUCAGAGACCCAUUUCGAGUACCGUACAACAAAAGAUUGAUGUACGAAGUGGGAUAUUCACUAUGGAGUUCGAUGGAGAAGUGGUGAAAUUUAACAUUUAUGAGGCCAGGAAUCAUCCUAGAACGAUUGCUAACGUUUCUAAUGUUGAUAUAAUUGAGCCUUUAACUGACUUGCAUUUGGAAUAACAUGAUGAAAAUGAAUUAUGAAUUGUUCUUUGUAGAAGUCUAGACUUUGAUCCCAUGGAAGAACUAGAGGAGUAGAUAACUAUCGAAGAGUUUGUUUGCGAAAUAAUGGCUCAUAUGGAGGCAUCGCAAUUAUGGAAAAAUUCAAGUAAAAGUUUUGAAUUGUCUCCUUCACAAACUAAGCUUUUACCAUCUAUUUUGCAGGUCCUUGAAUUGGAACUCAAACCACUUCUGGACCAUUUGAAGUACGCUUUUUUGGGCAAAGGAAAUACCUUGCCAGUAAUAAUCUCGAGUAAACUCUCGAAGUUAGAAGAGGAAAAUUCGGUACGAGUUCUUAGAGAUUAUAAAGGGGUAAUCGGAUGGACGAUUGCCGACAUAAAGGGUUUGAGUCCCUCGACUUGUAUGCACAAAAUUCCAGUUGUAAAGAAUGUAACUCCUAAAAGAGAGACUCAAAGACGUCUCAAUCCGUCCAUGAUGGAAGUAGUAAGGAAAGAAGUUCAAAAGUUACUUGACGUUGGGAAGAUCUAUCCCAUUUUUGACAGUAAUUGGGUCAGCCCAGUUCAUGUAGUGCCGAAAAACUAGUGUGACCGUAAUCGAAAAUUUGGCAGGUGAGAUGGUUCCCACUCAGGUCCAAAACGAGUGGAACAUGCUACAACUUCUCUAACAUUCGUCAAACAUAUAAGAUCACUUGUAACAUGAUUUGAACUCCCUGUAUCAACAAUCUAGUUAUUCUUGGACUUACCUUUCAACCGAUUGGUAGUGGAUUGUGUAUUACUGAACAGUUGCUAGAAGUGACUACCAUUGUUCAGUGGUAAAACCAAGACGUGUUGGUAGUGGUGAUGGUGGUGGUGGAGAAGUAGAAUCGCCGCCAACCAUUGAGAACGAUGAAUUCUUUUUGUGUUAAACACCAAGCUCAGAUACCAUAAUAUUUAUACAGUAGUAGUAAUAGGAAAGAUAUAUAUUAUAUUUCUAAAUAUAUGCCUAAAAGAUAUAUAAUAAUAUACAAUAUAUUUAGAUAUUUCUAAAAGAUAAUAUCCUAACACAACGCAAAAGGUUUGUUCUUAGUGACCUCACCCAAUUUGCCUAGCAUAGGAUAUAACUAAUGGAGAAGGAGGAUUAAAUUAGUUAGAUACUAAAAGAGUUUGAUUAAGACCAUUUAAUCUAGAUUAGUAAUUAUAUAGAUUGAACAAUUAAAUGGGAUAAUUGAUUAACAUGGAUUGAACAACUGAAUGAGAGAUAAUUGAUCAAUUGGAUUAAAUGAAGUUAGAGUUCCAAGUCUUAAGAAUUGAAUAAAAAAUUUAAAAAUUUCCACUGUUUUAGUUUAAAACAACUUAAAAUUUAGUCAUUAUACGAAUUAUAUCUUUUUAUUACUUUAUUAUUUAAUCAACACGUGCACUUGGGUUAUAAAUUUUUACUCCAUCAAAUGGUAUUAAACCAUGAUAUAUGACCCCAAUUUUUAAAUUUCACUUAUCGAAUCUCAAUUCAAACCCAAGUGAGGCGAAUCUACUAUUAAAAACUAUAUUUUUAUGUUAAUAUCUAUAUUUUUUAAAUUUACUUGAAUAAAUCUAAAUUUGUGGAAAAACAGCUUUUAAGAAACGAAAGUCCAUAGGCUUUUUCUUUCAUCCUUCGUUUGGGAAAUUGGAUAAGACGAUGCACAGUUUCAAACGUGUUUACCAAUUUUGCCGUUGAUGGGCUACUGUUCGCCAUUUAUGGGAUAUGUAAUGUGCAAUGUUUCCAUUAAUUACACACUUCAAUUUUUUUAUUCCUUUUAUUUUUCAUAUCCUUCCUUUAAAGCUCUUCGUUGUAUCCAACACCUUUUCAUUAUAUUAAAUAUUCUAUUACACGCGAAUGUGUGAAAGUUAUAAAUUUAAAAUAUAAAUAUUUAAUUAAAAAUAACAUAUAAUAAAAGAUAAAAUAUAUAAUUUAAGCUAAUUAAUAAUAACAUGUAAAAUAUAUAUUAUUAAAAUUAAAAACUUAAAUUAAAAUAAAUAAACCUUUUAUUUCUUAUAUAAUAUAUGUAUAUAUUUUUAUUAGUAGGUCUAGUUAAUACCAUGUUCAAAUUAUUUUUAAUUAAUAUAAAUAUAAAUAUAAAUAUAAAUAUAAAUAUUAGAUUAUAAAGUGUGCAUAAUAAAAUUAAAUAUAUAAAAAUAUCAAUAAUAAAACUUUAAUGAGUGAUAAAAUAAAGGUGUUAUUGAUGUAAUUGAUGUGGGUUCAAGUCUCACCAUAUACAUAUUUUUAUUGGUUUUUAAAGUGGAAAGACUAAAAUACCCUCGAAUAAUAUAAAUUUUUUUUAAUUAUGGAAGAGCAUUUUCAUAACUUUCUAACCUGAUUGAUGACCCAAUUGAAGAUGACAGCAACUCAAUCAAGAGUUUUCUUAAUAGUAUUGAUGUUUUUUGAAGUGGCCUAAUUUUUUUUAUAAAAGUAAAUUAUCUCUAUAUAAAGGCAAAAUAGCCCAAAAAAACACAAUUUUUCAAAAGAAGGACUCACUUACACUAGUAUAAAAUAAAAUAGUUUUAUUUUACACCCUAUUAUAUAUCUUUAUAUGAUUAAUAUUUUAACAAUUCAACCGUCAUAUUUUGUAUUUCAGUCAUAUACAUAAUACAUAUCAAAUUUUAUGUAAAUUAAGAAUUUCUAACUAUUUGUAUAAUAUAUAAAAGAGAUAUCAAAUUAGUUCAAAACUUUACAUGCAUAAUAAUAUGAUUAUAUUGAUACAUUUCAUAAUUAAAUUAUUAAAAUAUUAUUUAUAUAAAGAGAUAAAAAGAUGUAAAAUUACUUAUAUAAAUAAAUAUUUUCUAAUAAUAAUCUUUUAAUUACCCAUGAUAUAAGUCACUUCAUUCAAUUAUUUUAAGGAUGUAGCGACGUAAAUCAAAUCAGUUUGGUGGAACUAUUAAUCCGAAGGGGCAAUGACCCGAUUCAUACAAUCAAUAUACAAGAUGAAUUGAUAUAUUUGUUUUUAUUGGAGAGAGAGUGUGUUCCUUAAUGUACAAGUAGUCAAAUAAUUUACCUAUAAAAUCAAAAUCAUGUGAAUCUUACGAGUUUUAUUUUGAUUUCAAAUAAAAAACAAUUUUAAUUUACCCUAGGGUUGUAUUCGAUCACACAAAAACACUUAUUUUGGUAAGUAAAUUUGGAUCACCCAAAACGAAUUGUAUAUAAAUUAUUGAAGCAUUAUUGUUGAAGGUUGGUCUAGAAAAUACUACAAAAAGAAAUUGUGGUUGCUUUGUGUUCCCUUGGGAAUGAAGUGUCAGCAUUGGAUAAUUGAUGAGGAAGAUGCACACGUCUUACACACGUACACAAUUGGGUCAAUUUUUGAAUAUGAUAGUAUUUGGCUUCAUAUAAAUAUUCUUUUUCUAGAGUCAAGUGGGGAUCGUUGCAUGAUUGUUUGGCAAUCUAUGUUAUUUGUAUAUGCAAUUUCUUUAUCAAUCAUAUCCUUAGGAUAUUCUAGAUUUGAUUUUAAUUUCCAUAAUCAUCCUACAGUCUAUUUCUUUUUUCACUUUGUUUAAGGACAAGAGGAAAAAUUUUGAGAGAAUCAAAAGACACAAAGGAGAGGAAAUAAACUAAACUCCAGCUAAUAGGUUUAUCUCGUACACUUAUUCUAUGCGACUCUCCUUUGGAAGAUAACAUCAAUAAGAGAAUCAAAUUUAUAACACGACGUAAAAGAUAAAGCCACUGCAUUAAAUGAUGAACCACCUUAUUCGCAUCCCUUAAAAUCUUCAACUAACAAACUAAACACCAACCUCCUCCAUCGCACAGCUGAGUGAACUAUUGAAUCCUAGGAAACAUAUGUUGAAAAGGCUGAACUAUUCUUAAAGAAAUCAAAGGAAAACAAAACAAUAAUAGAAACUGGAAUAUGAAAAAUGGAGAAGGUAAAUUUAAUUUGCUAUUCUUUCAAUUCAUGAAAUCUGGAAAAGUAAACUUGUUUUCAUUCCUACAAACGUACCCUAUAUACACAUGGCUUCUACUGUUAACCACUGAAGUAUAACAAUAUACCUACUAAAUAAUUUUAACCUCUACAACUACUAUUUUGCUUGUAACUCCCUAAACUACUAACUGAUUUUAACAAAUUCUUCAACUAUACACUUUGUUAAUUUUGAUAUUCUAAUAUUCACCUAUCUACUCCACUUUCGAGACCCGCAAAAGUUGUCGAAGUUUACAAACAUACGAAACUGAUAACGGUUUAGUAAGAAUGUUCACCACUUGGUCACAAGAGGGUACUUUGCCGACGAUAAAAGAUCCGUCGCCAACCUUCUUAGGAACAAAAAACAGAUCAAGCUCAACAUGUUUAAACUUCGAAUAAUCGCUCUGAAAUUGCUUAAUGUCUUUCCCAAAUUGAGUUGUUACCAUUUUCUGAAAUUGACUAAAACACUCAACAACUUGAGAUUUGCGUUGAAUAGGAAAUAUCCAUGUAAACCUACUGAAAACAUCAACAAAUGAGAUAUAAUACCAACUAUUACCACAGUUAACUAUUGUUGGUCCCCAUAAAUGUAACACAACCAAUUCAAAUGGAACAAUAUAUACUGUAGUUGAACUUGAAAAUGGCAACUUGUGAGACUUUCCCUUUUGACAAGCAGAACUUACAUGAUCAAACUUAUUUUUAUUCGCAACAAUAUUACAUGUCUUCAAAACUGAGCUAACAACACAAGCUAAAGGAUGUCCCAAAUGACGAUGCCAAACUUCAAAUAAUUCAUCAUUCGAGGAAUUCGACACUAAGACGACAUUAUGUGUGGAUGGAGUCAUACGAGUAGCAUAUUUGAUUACUGGUGAGAACCAAUAAAACUCAUCAUGAGUGUGGCCCGACAACAAAACGUCCUAAGUCUGAAUAUCCUUAAUCACACAGUGAAACAGGUGAAACUACAAAAAUCAUUAUUCUCUCGAGCAAAUUGUGAGACGAAUAGCAAAUUUUUCCAAAUAGUUGGCACAUGUAAGACAUUAGACAAAUGAAGCAAUUUAUUUUGAGUAGUUAAUGUAGAACGACCCACAUACUCGAUUUUAGAAUUCGUACUAUCACUCAUUAGAAGUGCAACAUUACCUGAAUACAGAGUGGAUUUAUCUAAUGCCGAUGUGUCUCUAGACACAUGAUGAGUUGCUCCCGAGUCAGAAUACCAAAAAGCUAUAUUAUUAUUUUUCACAGGUGAAGGAAUAUACGCUCCUCAGUCCCAAAUGUUUUAGUGCCAAAAUUUGAUCCAACACCAUAACCAUAUGAAUUUGCACUGGUCUCACUUCCAUUUGAAAACUCGGGACCAAAAACAUCAGGAAUUCGUGAAAGACCGAAUCAUGACGAGGACUCCAUGAGUGGGUCUUAAACGAAUGGUCCCACACCGGCAUUAUGGUUCGAACCUUGGAAAAUUUUCGCUCUAGGCUUUGUAGAUCAAUUGCGACACACUUCAUGUCCUACAUGCGGCCUAUUUCUAUUUAAACUUCUUGGCUGCCCAUUUCCAUUAAAACAUUGUGGCUGCCCAUAUCCAUUAACACUUUGUGGCCCAAUUGCCGAUGGCCCACUUCCAUUGUGACCAUAUGAUCCAAACCUUGAAGACCCAAAACUCAUAUGGUUAAAAAAUGGACUAGGGUCUUGAAAGCAUACCAUAUUUUCCAUUAGGGUUAUACCCUUCAUGUGCGACAGCAUCAAGGGUGAGCCAAAAUUUGUACCGGUGGUCGAACCAACAACUGCACAUAUUUCAUGAUGAAACCGCUGGUCCAUCAUCGCCGGAGAACUCCCAAAUGGUCCAUUACCCUUUGGAUUUGCAACGAACCUCGUUGUUUCAUCAAUAGGGUGCUAUUCGAGAGUCGCUGGAGAAGACACCAAUACCGAAGGUCCAUCAUGACAUUGAUCGAACCUUUAAUAGCAUCAUUGCGCUAAAUGGCCACUCUUUCCACAGAUUUGACAUUGUACUCGUCCGUGCACACUCCUUUCACGACUACUGGAGAACACUCAUUCACCCCUCAUCGUGGAAUCCAUGGACGAGAACGAUGAGUUCAGACUAUGGCUCAGCAUGUUUGCUUGAAGAGGGGUCUGUGUCACCAUCCUCUACUGUCAGCUUUUGUGCUCCAAGAGGAUAUCCACCAGUCGCCGCAAUGGGAGAGGCUUCAAUGAGAAAGAGGCUAAGGUGACCACCAUAUCAAACUCCGACGAGAGCCCUGCAAGAAUGAUCUCUAGUUUUUUCGAUUCAAACACUGAGUGCCUAGAAGCUUCUAACAGGGCACAGGUAUUCUGGAUUCUUGAAACAUAUUCUUUGAUUGUGUGAAAUCCUUUCUUGAUUGAACUUAAUUCGUGUUUGAGUCUAGGCACUUUCGCUCUCGAUGCGACCGCAAACAUUCAAUUUGCAAUCUCCCAUACAUCGCUAGCCGAGUGAAUCCCUGUAAAAGAUGAUAACAGGGAGUUGCUAAUCAUGGACAAGAGCCACGAAGCAAGUAAUUUGUCCUGAAACACUAUAAAAUUAGGGUUUAAACACAUUUUCCCUUCUUGAUCCAGGAUAAAAUGUGGAGGUACCGGAAUAGAUCCAGUCACAUAGCCGGUAAGACCAUAACCCUCAAGUAUUAAUUUCAAAUGUUGUUGCCACUGUACAAAAUUAUUAUAAUCUAACCUUAUCAUUUCAUGAAGAGAAAAAUUUUGAACUAUACGAGAUCUCACAGGCUCGAAAUGGCACGAAAUUAUAGGACUCGGAGCAGGAGAGGACGAGACUGGAGGCACGCCAUUGGGAGCAGAAGUUGAUUCAACAGACAUUGUGUUAAUCAUAGCGGAAGGUGCCCAAGAUCAGGCGAAAGAUACCAUGAAAAGACUAAACUAUCCUUAAAGAAAUCAAAGGAAAAUAGAAGAACAAUAAAAACUGGAAUAUGAAAAACAAAGAACGUAAAGUCAAUUUACUAUUCUUUCAAUUCAUGAAAUCUGGAAAACUAAACUUGUUUUCAUUCCUGCAGACGUACCCUAUAUAUAUAUACAUGGCUUUUACUGUUAACCACUGAAGUAUAACAAUAUACUUGCUAAACAGUUUUAACCUCUACAACUGCUAUUCUAUUUAUAACUCCCUAAACUACUAACUGAUUUUAACUUCUUCAACUAAAAAACUUGUUAAUUCUGAUAUUCUAAUAUAUAUCCUCACAAACAUCGAUUGAGCCACCUCCCAUUGCUGGAAAGAAUUAUUAGCAACCUAAAUAACAUGCAUAACAUAAUGUGCAUCAACUUUCCAAACUAGUUUUGAUGCAACCAGAGACUCCAAAGAAAAUAAAGAUGAUGACACGUCGUAGACGAAUCAGAGCAUUAAUCAACAACACAAUGAACUGUUAAAGCUCUUCACCAUCUUACAUUUCAAAAAGAAAAAAAACGCAUGUCUUUACUAAUAAUUUGAAAUACAUCAACCAAAGCUACAAUUUUUUUUAGUAAUCACAUAAGAAGAUACAUAUUAUAUAUAUAUAUAUAUUCAAAUAUGAGAAUUCUUACAAUUACAACGAAAAAAAUUAAUUAUUCAUUAAAAAAAAUUAUUAUUAUUUGUCAAAAUUUUAAAUUAGGGUUAAAUAUAAAAUUAGUACAUGAACUUGUCCACUUCUCCCAGAUUGAUACUUAUGGUUUUUUUUUGUCUCAGAUUGGUACUCGAACUUUUUUUUCCAUUCACUGGUACUUGAGCCUAACGAUGUUAAACUUUUGUUGACAUGGCAACGAUGGCCACUUGCACGCCGUCACGUCUCGUAAUCCUAACACCCUCUUUGACCCGUGUUUCCUUUUUUUUUGACCCAACCCCUUAGAAUAUCUUUCCUUUAAAUUUUAUUUGCCUUUAAAGUAAAUUUUUUACCAUCAUCUUCAACAUUUUUCAACAUCUUCUCUUUUGUCUUCUCUGCAAUCUCUUUUCUCUUUUGUUUUCUCUACCUUCUCUUUCAUUUUCUCCUCUUUUGUUCAUCCAUUAUUAUUUUUCUUUCACUUCUUCAUUUUCUAUCUCCUACAUUUUCCAUCUCCUUCACAUCUCCACCAUGUCUUCUUCUACAAACAGAAAAUCUGGUACGUAGAGAAGUGUUGUGUACUGCCAUUGUAGGUUAAGGGCUUCUGUUUGUAAUGUGAAUACUCUAAAGAACAAAAGGAAAAAUUCUUUGGGUGUUCAAACUUCAAAGAGGUAAAUUAGGGUUAAUGUUUUUGAUAUGCCAUUUUGUUGUAAUUUGGGUUUAAGAUGUAUUCUUAGAUUUUUAAUAUUUUGUUUUUUUGUGUUGAAUGUGAUAAAUGAAAAUUGGGGGAUUUGAUUUUUUUGGUGGGUUAAAGGUUACAGUAAUGGGACGGACUCAAUUGCAAAAGAAGAAAGAUGCACAGUUGAUGAGAUAAUGCUAGAAAAUAAGAUGUUAUUGAUAGAGAACAGAAGAUUAAGACUUGAGAAUGAUGAGCUCAAUAUUGAUGAAAUGCGAAGAAUGCGAUUGAGGGUAACUUGUUUGGAAGAGAAGAUAAAAUUGUACAAGGAUAAAAUGUUAAGGAACAAAAAAUUAAUAGUUGCUUAUAAGUUGUUAAUUGUAUCAUGGAUGAUGUUUUUUUUUGGUUAUCUUGCUUGUGGAUGGUGAAAUGAUGUCCAUGUAUUUGCAUUAGUUGUUAAGAUUAAAUGAAUUGAAUUGAAUGAAAAAUAUUUUGUUUUGUUUUGUAAUGUUGUUGUAAAAGUAUACGCAGAUACCAAAAUCGACAUCAACAAAAUAGAACCAUCCAUUACAACCAUCAUAUAUAAAGGAUCAAUAUAAAUUGUCCAUCAAAAUACAACCAUUAGAAUGAUUCAACAAAAUAAAACCGUCUAUCAAAAUACAUCCAUCUAAAUGAUCCAACAAAAUAAAACCAUCCAUCAUAUGUUAACAAAAUAAAACUAUCAAAUUAAACAUGGAUUGAUAUCAACUAUCUCUAUGGCUUACAAUUGUGUUUAGGACUUACACUUUUUUAUGUUCCUACUUUCCUGAAUCCCAUCAGUAGUUUCUUUGUUGAUGCUUCCCUUCUUUUUAUUGGUGCAUUUGGUUGGGGAAAUCAGCAUGGUUUCCCCUCUCUACCAGGCUACAAUGCAUAAAAUAAAUAAUUAAAAAACAUGUGAACAAAAUACAAUAAACAAUUUAACAAUCGGCUACUUACAUUCAAAAUUUGCAUCCUUGUCCUCUCAUCUGUGUAUAACCUAAUCCCUUGCACAACUUGUUUUCCCUGCUACAAAGUCUUGUAAGUAUUUGUUGUGUUGAAGAGAUUGGCAUGCUAGGAGGAGUUGGUUGUGUUGAAGGAGCUGGUGGUGAUGAUGCAGAUGCUUCAGAUGCAACAGUUUGAGAAUGAGUUGGUGGAGUAGGAUCAAAAGGAGCUGGUGGAAAAGGAGUUGGUGGAGCUACUCCAGCUAGUGGAAGUGUACUCUACAAAUUAAACAUGUUUUGCAUUAAAAAUCUUAAGACAAAAUUACACUUACAGUAGAUGAAGUUAGACAGAUUCUUUUGUCCCAUACCGGUUUUCAACCAAAAUUUCCCACUUAAGAUAGCAGGCAUUACAAAGCCAUACAACUUUUAAAGCAGAUCUUUUUUAAACCCCUUAUAUACAAAAUAAAAAAAAGCUUCUUUUCCACAAAAUGGCUGCAACAACAUGUGAACAUGGGAUGCUAGUGAGAUUCUAUCUUCUACAACUACAUGACCAGUGAAAUAAGUCAACAACUAUAACAUCACCAAAGUUUGCCACUUCAAAGCCUUCUUCUCCAUUCCAUUUAACAUGAUAGUAUGAACUAAUUUGGAUACUCUUGUAUAACUUCUAACAUAUCUUUGAACAGAAUUGGUCAUUCCUAUUUUUACAUUUGGCCAAAUUGUUUACAAUCCUCCCAAUAACAUAUUGCCUAGUUUCUUAUAACAUGGAAAUUAUAGACAUUGACUUAGCUCCUAAAAUUGUUGCAUUAAAGGACUCGACAAAAUUGUUGUCAGUUGCAUCAUAUAUGGACUUAUCAGAAAAAAGGCCUUUAACCAUUUCUUAGGAUCAGUCCUAUGUAUACUUAUCUUAGCACUAUGUUUGAUAUGGUCAACCUUUUCAAUGUGUCAGCAAUUAUGUGUGAUUGCAUGCUCUCCAAAAUGCUUGUUGCAGGUCUCCUCCAGGAUUUUCUUUCUUUCAAUUGGCAUAUAGAUACCUUGCAUAGACUUUGUGCUCAACCAUUGGUAACAACUCAGAAUUCUCCUCUAUCAAUCCCUAAAUGCAAACAAAAAUAAUGGAAUUAGAUGGCUAGUUUAUUAAAGUAAACAUAAUAUUACAAAAUUAUUUAGUUAAUGUCUUUAACAUACCUUCUGUUUAUCAAUCAUAAAAGUCAAUCCAUAACCAUCACCAAUUUCUAAAUCUGAAAUAAGAUUAUUAAGAAGCCAUCUCUAUGUUUCUUUACUUUCAUUCUCCAUAACUGCCCAUGAAAUAAGGUAUAUUUGGUCAUUACCAUCUCUCCCCACAACACACAAAAGUUCCCCCUUGAAUCUUCCAUUCAGAAAGCAUUCAUCCAGACAAAUAAAAGGUCUACAACACUAUAGAAACCCUUUUCUCAAAGCACUAAAUUUUACAUAAAAUCUCUUAAACUUGGGAACCUCAGUAGAGGUUGGUCUUUCUACCAUCACCUCUAUAUUUCCAAUCGAGUCUACUUUUCUAAGUGCAUUUGCAUAGUCCUAUAGUAUGUUAAACUCAUAGCUUAGCUUUCCAUUUAUUUCCUCCAGUGCCCAUUUCCUAGCCCAGCUGCAUGUACCCUUACUAAUAUCAACUUUCAAUUCUUCCUUGGCUAGUUUCUGCAUCCCAGUUAACUUUGGCUUUGGAAUCACUUUGAUUUUACUUAAGAAAUGCUCCCAAACAAACUUGUAAGAUGCCAUUUUGUUCUUAAAAUUUAUAAAACACUUGUGGGUUUCUAUGAAGGUUUUUAUCUUGUAAAACUCAUCACUAUUAUCUACAACAACAUAUAUUCUAAAAGGACACCCAUCUUCCCUACACCUAGCCUUAGUCCUCAAUUUUUCAUUCCUAAGAUAGAUAAUAUCAAACCUUUUUUUUAUACUUCAUACUUUGUUAAUGCAGUCUUAAAUUCCUCUGGUCCCCUAAACACCAUAGCAAGCUCCAAAUGUGGGAUUGGGUUAUUAGGAUAGAAACAUACAUGUCGGCUUCUUCUACAGACUACAUCACCAUUUAAAUUACUUCCAGAGGAUCCCAAAUCUGAUGAAUCAAUGUAAUCAAUUCCUCCACCUGAUGGAUCUGAAACCUUACCAUUUUUCUCUCCCCUUUCACUACAUUCACCUACCUUUGGACCCUCAUUGUAACAUUCCUAACCCGUUUCUGUCGCCGGAUUAGUGUUACAAAGUGUCACAGUACAAUUAGAAACAUUUAACCUAAAACAUAAAAAAUUACUAAAAUAUAAUAACAACAUUCAAAAACUCAUUUUACGUUAAGUAAAAGUACUCUUAUGGGUCUUAAAUCGAGCUUAUGGGGCCCUAAAAAUAGUUUAGAAACAUUCAAGGAGUAAUUUGGAACAAAACAAAAAAUUUUGGAAAAAACUUAAAAAUUUUGAAACAGGGGUCACACGACCGUGUGACAUAGCUCAGGUCAUGUGGCCAACCGUGUUAAAUUCAAAGUAUAGGACACACGGCCAUGUCCCAGCUUGCGUGUGUGUCUGUGUAGGUAUUCGAAAUAGGGUCACACGGCCAUGUCACAGGCCAUGUACCAAGCUGUGUGGACAUUAGAAGUUUGGUCACACGACCAUGUUGCCAGGUCGUGUAACUCUCUGAGACCGUGUGGUUCAUCUUGCACCUAAAAAAUUAAAAUGACAUACGACCAUGUGGUAUGGCCGUGUGUGGCACAUGGCCGUGUGACAGCCUGUGUGCUUCACAAAUUACCCUAAUGCAAGCCAAAUCAAACCCAAUUGCUUGGGCACCAAACCAAACCAAUUCAAGGUACUUUCACAAUACAAACACAUUCAAGGACAUCAAAACAUGCCAAAAAUCAAUAAUCCUAGGUGCCUAACCAAUGUGCCUGCAUUGACACCACAAUCUAUAAGCCAAAAUAAACCAAAUCAAACACCUAACAAGUAUCAAACUCAUUUUUAUUUAAACUCAUCGUAAACAAACUAAUCACAUAGCCAAAUGGCCAAUCAAUCAUACCAUUUAUGUCUAAUUUCAAGAACCCAUAAUUUCAAUCAACUUUCACCUUAAGUAUAUAUACUUAGAACUACUCAAACUUUCAUUUCAAUCCAUACACAUAUAAAUAACUAAUUCACUAGAUCAAGGUACCAAACAUAUAUACAUAACCACAAAAUACUACCAAAUUUAAGUACCAAACCCAGACAACAUGUAAGAUUCCAUUCAUAACCAAAUUCUAAAACAACUUAAAACAUCUACCAAAGAAGAGAUGGAUAGUGUAUAUGCUCCGACUUGAACUUUUGAUCCACUAGGCUUCACGAAACCUAUAAGAAAAACCUACCACGUGAGCAUAAUAUGCUUAGUAAGUUCAAAUUCAUGUAAACACAACUUAAUUAAUAAACUUACUUUACGUAAAACAUACAUAAUCCUAAAACACUCUUAUAUAUUCAAAAAUGCUUAUUCAGAUAACAAACCUUAAAACCUUUACAUAAUGGUCCUUCAAUUGAUAUCCUUUUCAACAUUUCCUUUGUUUCGAGGAUGCCAUCGUAUAUUUCAACCAUUGUCUUGCACAAUCCCGAAACGUUGCCAUAGUGUCUUUCAAUCAUGAUCUUUUCCUUUUCAAGUAUAAUGCCAUGAUAUAUUUCAAUCAUAGUUUUUUUUCUUUACCAAAUUCAAGAAAAUUCAAUCACCAAUUGAAAGAUAAGUAUUAAGAGGUAUCAAUUUAUAUACUAAAAUCAAAUGAAUUAUUUUAAUAGAAUUACAAACUUACCUCGAUUGAAACGGUUAUUAAAACGGAGUUGACAACUAGUUUGAAACUUUGGCUUUUCCUCAGUUUACAUUCGGUUGUGGCAUUUCUUGAUCUAAAUAACAAGUUUAAUCAAAUAAUAGCAUUUCAGCACUUAAAUAAAUAGUUUAUACAUUUAAGCCCUUACAACAUCAUUUUACAUAAUUACCCCAACAUUUUAACUUUUGUAUAAUUUAGUCUUUAAACCUGAAACUUGAAAAUUCACCAUUUUUUAAAGAAAAACUCUACUAGACAAUUUUACUAGAGGUUCAUUACAACCCAUAUAUUUCAAAAAUUCACCCUAUCUUUCAUUGAAUUUAUCAAAAUCAUAAAAAAAUCACUUAACAAAAUACUUAUUUUUAACUACCAACCUUAAUAAUCUAUCAAUAAAAUUCACAAACACCUCUAAUUCAUUCAUGGCAAGUCCCUAAACAUUUAAAAAAUGUUACGAAUUGACCUCUGGGCUAGCUAGAUUAAGCUAAUACAAACUCAAAAACAUAAAAAUCAUUAAAAACAAACCAAAAUUUCAUACCAUGCAAUAGGAUUUUUAAUGGCUGAAACUUUCUUCUCCCAUAGAAAUGGCUAUUAGGUUCAAAACAAAAGAAAAAGGGAAGUAGAUGAUGAUAUUUCUUUUAUCAUCUUUUGUUUAAUUUUUUUAAUUUACCUAAUUAUAAAAUUAACCUUUAAAAACCAUUAAAAUUACACCAAAACCAAACCAAUACCAUCCACUAACUAAGAAUAUGGUAUUUUUACCUAAUAAGUCCAUUAACUUACAUUUCCAUAGCUAUUUAACCCAUUUAACUAAUAGAAACCAAAUUUUGCAUCUUUUAUGAUUUAGUCCUUUUUACUUAAUUAACUAUUUAAACAUUAAUAUUUCUCAACCAAAUUUUAAUAUUACUCAAAUAAAUAAUAAAAUAGUAAUUCUCUCAUCCGAAUCAUGAUUUCGAAACUACCAUUUUUGACACCACUGAAAACAAGCUGUUACACUUACAGUUAACCUUAUUUGCUCUGUUACAGUUACAGUUAACCUUAUUUGCUCAUUCUCUAUUUUUUUCCUUUAUAUUUUCUGUACGAAUCCUUGAUAUUUCUCACCUCUUCAUCCUCAGAUUCUACCCCUAAUGCCCCAUUCAUUGCUUAAUGAGUUGUCUAUAUCACUGGCCCCACUACUUCUAGAACUUUUUCCACUCUCAGCACAUGCAUCACUAUUCCCACUGAAGUCUGGUCCCAUAUUAGAUUUCCCACCUAACUCAAUAAAUGUUUCCCCAACCCCACCAUUAACUCUCUUAUUAUAAUUUAAUUCUUCGUUACAAUUUGGUUCAUCAACACCAAUAUUUACAUCCUUUUCACUAAUGAAAAACAACAACAUGGUAUCAUCAACAACAUCACGUGUGUCUACCUCGUGUUCAACAUAUACAUGUAUGGACCUUCUUUUUCUAAUAUGGUUAAUCAUGGCUAUGAAUGAUGAAUUAUCAUAGCAAACACGCAGCCCCUUACUAAAAUCUAUCCCAUCCUCACAGUAUACAAAGUUCCUACAGCUCUAUACCUAGCUUCCACUACUAUCUCAUAAAAAGUGUAAUAACACAAAAUUUGGGUCGAAAUCCCAUUGCAGCACUUCCCCUCCAACAUAAUAUGCACAAGUGUUUGUAACAAAAGUUCCAUCCAAAUGCAUAUGCACUACACAUUUAUCCCAAUACAUUAUUGGACACUGCACAUGCGUAAUAUAAACUGUAAUAUACAUACAUAUUUUAAACAGUGCUAAACAUAACAUACAUACAUAAACAGUAAUAAACAAUAAUAUAUAUAAAAGUAAUAUACCACAUAAUAUACAUACAUACAUACAUACAUACAUACAUACAUACAUAACAAUAAUAUACAACAUAACAUACAUAAUAUACAUACAUUAAACAUGAUAGAAAUUCAUCAACAGUAAUAAACAUAAUGUACAUAAUAUACAUACAUAAGAAUAAUAUACCACAUAACAUACAUACAUACAUACAUACAUACAUACAUACAUACAUACAUAACAAUAAUAUACAUAACAUGCAUAAUGUUUAUACAUAACAGACAUACAUAACAGUGAUAUACUACAUAACAUACUAACAGACAUAUUCAUAACACACAUAACAGACAUACUAACAAGCAUACAUAACAAACAUAAUAACAACAUACAUAGCAGUAGUAUAUAUAACAUACUUUGCUAAAGAGAUAUACAUAACAGAUGUUAUAGGCCAUUUUUUCCCGGGCCCAAACCAAAAGCAACCCAAUUUCCAAAAUAAUUAAACAGUCCAAAAAAUAAAUUACAAGCCAAAAAAUAAAAAAACCUAGUGGCCCAAGUGGCCCACAACCUAAAUUUAAUUUUUAGUAAAAUAAAAAAACCUAGCCCUAACACCUCUCUCGGCAUGCACGACGCUCGAUGACGACUCCUCACUGAGGUUGCACCGGAAUGGCAAUGGUUUUUGCCCGUUGACUCCACCACCUGCAAGACAAGAGAAAGAAAAAAGACUAUGAAAACAGAGAAAGAAACAUAGAGCAAAAGCAAAAAUAGACACAAACAGCAUGUAAAUCGGCUAUAAAAGGCCGCAUUAACCAUGUAAUUUUUACACACUGAGAAUCCAAUUUUGAGAGAAUAUAAAUCAGUCCAAAAGGUUUAUAUUUACAGUUUUUAUUUUAGCUUCACUUUAUUCUACUGUUAUUAUUAUUUAUCUGCAUCCGAAAAUAAAACAAAGAAAGAAAGAGGAAUAAAAACUGACCUAUAUUCGAGUCUUCGCCGUCGAAAACCGAAAGGUUUCUUUAGAUUCGGGUCCUUUUUGUCAAUAUUUUAGAGAUUUUGGGGGUAGAUUCAGGUUUAAGGGCUUUAAAGGAAUCAGACCAAAAAUUCUAACCUUUUUCAGCCAUCGCAUGCGGCUGUGCCGUCACUAGUGGCCGAUGCGGUGGACCGGUGGCCGGAGCCCUAUACCGAACCUCAGAUGGCCAUAGAGCAGAGAAAUUCUCUCUCUUUUUCCUGGUAGCUGUUAAUAAUGAGUUUUAGGUUUUUUUAGUCUUUUAUAAAUGUAUCAAAACGGCGUCAUUUUGGGGAGGUCGGCCUGAACUCGACCCAUUUGCCAGGAGGAUCCGCUUGUUUUUGUGGCUAGGGUAUAAUUGCUACCCUAGUCCUUCCGCCUUUCUUUGUGUUUUCAAUUGAAUAUUCUUUAUUUUUGCAAUUUCAUCCCGUUUUUCUUUAUGUUUUCAAUUCGGUCCCUUCUUGAACACUGUCAUUUUAGGGUAGAGGGAAAAUUACUAUUUUGGCCUCUUUAUACCGCGCGCGUGUUCAGAAAGAUCCCUUUUAUUUUGCAGAUUCGUCCUAAAGUUUUGUCUCCAGUUCAAAUUAAUCUUUUAUAGUUUUUCUAUUUAAUUAACUAAUUUUAAUAAUGCCGUCAUUAUUUUUCCUAUUGUUAUUUUUAAUAUUAUUAUGUUUAGCUGUUCAUAUAUACCCUUUCAAUUUUAAAUUUAAUUAUAUAUAUAUGCAUAUCUUUGAUUUAUACAUACAUACUCUUAUACUUUUGAUAUUUUAUAAUUUGUGUAUACAUUAUAUAUGCCUUUUAUAACAUAUAUAUAUACACCUACACGUACAUAUUUGUAUAACUUAUUUAUAUAUAUAUGCAUAUAUACAUACUUAUAUAUUUUUAUAUCUUUUAUAAUUUGUAUACGCAACUAUAUAUAUCUACAUACACAUAUUCUUUUUUCAUAAAUAUAUAUACACCUAUUUAUAUAUUCUUUAUAUUUUGAAAUGUACCUUUUUUACAUGUGUUUUUAUUUAUAAUUUAUAUACACAUACAUCGUGUAUAUAUUUUACAAUUUAUAUACAUAUAUACAUAUAUAUACAUUUACGUAUAUCUUUGUUGUUUUUUUUAUAUUUUAUAAUUUCCACGUACAUAUAUAUAUAUUUAUACUUUUAUAUUUUUAUAAUUUUGCUCAUGAUCAUUUUAAUUAUUUAUUCACGUCUUCAUUAUUAUUUUUAAAAGAAUAUUUCAAUCUAAUUUAUUCACAUAUUUGUUAUUAUGCAUGUUAUUAAUUUGUCAUUUUUAUUCAUUCAUUUUUUUGUUAUUGCUCGUAUUAUUUAUGUGUACAUCAUCGUGUUCAUUUUUAUUUUGUUACACAUAUUGAUACCGUGAUUCAUUUCUACUAUUUCGUGUUAGAUUAAUUUAUUUCAAUGCAUAAAUUACGAUUUUUGAAUAAGCAAAAUCUCGUGUUUAGAUUCAAGAAGGUCGUACCCUAACUUACUAGGUUUCGAUUUUCACAAUAAAUCUAAAUACACGAAUCCUUUCAAACUCAAGUUUUAAAUGAUCUCGGGAAUUAAGAGGAGAUUGUGUCCUAACUUACUGGGCAUGAUCAUUUUUUUCUCAAGCUUUAAACAAUCUCGGGAAUUAAGAAAAGAUUGUGUCCUAACUUACUGGGCAUGAUCCUUUUUUCUAAAGUUUUAAACAAUCUCGAGAAUUAAGAAAAGAUUGUGUCCUAACUUACUGGGCAUGAUCCCCCUUUUUUAAUCUGAGAUGGCGAAAUACCUUUUAAAUAAGUAAAUUUUGGCAUUCAUUCGUGCAUCGGGAAUUCAAGACAUUGUGUCCUAACUUACUAGAUACAAUUCUCUUUCUCGAUUAAUGUGAAAUAUGCUUUUUUCUCAAAAAUUUUCAACAUUUCAAUAAAGGAUCGUAUUUUAAAUCUCUUUAAAAUUUUCAAUCCUUGACACUAAGAUAUUAAUUAAUCAACUAGGUACCAAUUUUGGGCGUUACGAGGGUGCUAAUCCUUCCUCGUACGUAACUGACUCCCGAACCCCUUUUUUGAAUUUUGUGGACCAAAAUAGUUUUUUAAUAAAAAUUAAAUCGUUUGUUAAAAACAAUCACUUUUCAAGGUGACCCGAUCACACCUCAUCAAAAAAAGAUUGGUGGCGACUCCCAUGUUCAUUUUCAUUUUCAAAAUCCAUGUCGACCCCGUUUUAUCAAAAAAAUGGUGUCAACAGCUUGGCGACUCCACUGGGGAUGACACAAGAGUCAAGCUACUAGUUGAUUACUUUUUGUCUUUUUGUCGAAAAUCGAAAACUUGGUUUAAAUAUAGGAUCCUUUCGUUGCAUUUUCAUUCGUCUUUAUUACUAUCUUCAUCAUUGUGAUUUAUAUCUUUCUGCACAUUGCAUUGCAUGACCUUUUGUCACACCCUUUUAAGUGGGAGUUAGAAACUACGCCUUCGUCAGGUUUUCACCUCCGCAUGGGAUAGUGAAUCGCUUCUGGGAUACAUCUGUACUUAUGUCUUCGUGAGAUUUUCAUCUCCACUCGGCCAUAGGGAAAUGUAUUCCCCUAAACUAAACUUGGUCCAUAUGAGCCUAUAAUGGGUGAGGAUCGAGGAAUCUGCCGGUUCGAGUACCUUUGCCUUAGAAGCCAAGCCGCAUGUAGUGAACCUUAGGAACUCACCUUAGGUAGAACUACACCUUAAUCUUGUUAGAUACCCGGAUAUGUGUUUUAUUGUUUCUGGAUUGUCUUGGAUUGCAUGUUUAUACCUGAUACUGACUUUCUAUGUUUUACUUUGAAUGCAUGACAUUUCAUCUACAUGGCACUUCAUCAUAAAAUGCGUUAGUUCAUAUUCGGUUUCUAUAUAGAAAGCUUGUCAUGGAAAAAGGGUUUCUUGAUAAGGUGGAAGACAAUGCGGCCGUCCGAGCUUGGUCAGAAACGACACAGCACGAGAAAUGUGAUAGUUUGGCUAAGGGAUAUAUAUCAGAGUUGUGGGACUUUACCUGUAUUAGUGUAACUCAAAACAGUUUGCAAGAGCUGAAGGAAAUCUAGGAUCAGUGGAACGAGGGGGUCAGAUAGCUAUUCUAUUCUAAUUAUGGGGAUUUACCGUAUCUGCUAGGUAUGAAGGUAGACAAGCAAAUUUUUUGGGCUCUCGUACAGUUUUGGAACCCAGCCUACAGUUGUUUCACAUUCGGAAAAGUCGACUUGGUGCCUACGGUAGAAGAAUACAUGGCUUUACUUUGAUGUUCAAAAAUUCUAGUCGAUAGAGUCUACUCUAGAGCUGUAAAUGUACCAACCUUCCUAAAAAAGAGGCUCAAGAACAUAACUGGGAUGAGCGAGCAGUAGGUUACAGCUCAAAUCCAACAGAAGGGGGAUAGCAAGUGCAUUCCUUGGAAAAGUUUGAAAGAUAUAAUUCUAGCACACCCAGAUACAAAGAAGAGGGUAGACGUCUUUGCUUUGAGCAUAUAUGGCUUAGUUAUAUUCUCCAAGGCUUUGGGACAUAUUGAUGAGGCAGUCACCGACUUGUUCGAACGACUUGAUAAAAGGGUUACACCGGUCUCAGUGGUUUUGGCAGAAACAUUCAAGUCGUUAAAUAUCUUCCGAAGAGCAGGUGAAGGUAGAUUUGUCGGAUGUGCGCAGCUUUUACUCGCAUGGUUCCAUAGUUACUUCUGGAAGAUUGAUAAGGUUUCGUAUCGGGUCUUCUCUGAAAAUUAUUCACCACUAAAAGAGAUAGUAGCUACACCGAGGAGGGAUGACAUCUUGGAGGAGAAGUGGAUGGCAAUUCUGUAGAAUCUUCGUGAAGAAGACGUCGAAUGGAAAGCCCCGUGGUUGCUUCUAGAUGAGAUCUUGUAUCGAUGCGGUGACUUUGACUGGGUUCCCUUGUUGGGAAUUUAGGGAGAUGUUGGUUAUGCCCCGUUGCUAGUGCCUAAGCAGUAUAGGUCAAGACAGUUUAUGCCCGUAACUUACGGACUAGCCGAGUGUGAAUUCUCAUACAAAGGUGAUGGUUAUAAAAAGAAAAUUCGAGAAUUGUCCAAUGCAUGGAACCAGAAUCGUCGAAUGAAGAGAUUAACCUUGGGCCCAAUGACAACUCCUGAGUAUAAUGAAUGGUGGGUUAGAAGAAUCAAUGACAAUAUCCCUGAGCCGAGUCACGAAAACAUUCAGUCGAUAGGGGAACAUUUACAUGUCGUCCCUUCUGAACUAGAAAUCAUAAAAUAAGAUUUUGAAAGGAGAAAUGCAAAAUUUGAAAAGAAGAUAGAGCAAAUGGAAGAAGAAAAGAUGAACUUGAGAUUAGAUACGAAUGUCCAGAAACUUGAGGCAGAAAGAUUAAGAAAAAGGAAAAAUAAAGCCGAGGAGGAUCUGGAUAGCUUAAAAACAGAUUAUAAGAAGCUACGCUUAUCAAUGAGAACUACCGGGUUGGGAAAAACUUCGGAGCAGUGGCGUGAAUAGAAUCAAGAAAAAAAGGAUAAGGCCGAUAGCUAGGAAACGAAGUUCCAAGAGGUCCAGACACAAAAUGAGGAUCUAAAGAAGAGUUUGUCAGAGAACCAAAAGGAGAAAGGCGAACUAGUGAAUAGAGUGAUCGAGUUAGAAGGAUCUCUCCAUGGACAUCGAAAUCGAAAUUCUGUGAUCGAAUUGAAAGUAAGCUUUUGCAAGAUCGAAGAAAUGAAAGAAAGGAUAGAAGAGUUAGAAACGAUGCUGCAAAAUUGUGGGAUUUGGAUCGAGUACCUGGAAGCUAAUGAAGGCCGUCAGAUUGAACAGCUGCACCACUUGCAGAACCAAGUUAGAAAUAGAGAUCAUAUUAUGGGAAAAGUUGUGGUUCAGAUUCGAAAGGUAGCUGAUCACCUGCAGACUUUGGUAGUGCAAGCAGAUACGUUGAGCAUGAAAUAUGAAUUGGAAUCAGAUCGCAGACAAGAGUUGGCCUCAUUACUUAGGAAGAUUAGAGUAUUAAGAAUUAGGGCUAAGCCUUCUAUAAUUCAUCUUAUGUAAAGAAGUUUAUUUUUUAGUAAAGUUUUCAAAAUGAAAUUGAAUUAGAAUUGACGCCUUUUUGCAUUCAUUUCAUGCAUUGCAUCGCAUCAUAUGCAUUAACAACCAUUAAAAGAUCCUAAUUGAAUAAAAUUGUGACAGUUAUCCUGGAACAUCGUUACAGCACAAGAAAGAAAACAAAAGCAAUGGAUCAAAGGUUAGUAAGGUUGGAACAAAUGCAAAAAGAAAUGUAAGAUAAGAUGCAAGAACAAUUGGAUAAAAUCCAACAAGACGUGCUGGAAUCCCAAAGAACUAUGAUGGGCCAACUGGCACAAUUAUUGGCUGGAGGGAAUGAUAAAGGAAAAAGCCCUAUAAUCAAUCCUAGAGUUGAUCAUGAGGACCUUGUUUAUCCUCCAGGUUUCGCCCCAACGAACACUCAGGCACAACCUGAUAUGUGUCCACAAGGAGUGCCUGUUCACAUUAGACCUCAAUACUAAGUCGGUGUCUCGGCACCGAUGAACUUUCAGAUAGGCUUGGGUUCCAACCCAGGAGAUAUUCCAACCAACUUCGUUGUCCCUGAUCUGGAUGAUGUAGCGGAAGUAGAGAAGGCAAGAGUGGAUUUGCCGAAGCAACUUGAAGAUAGGUGUAGGUGGCUAGAGGAAAAGUUUAAAGUAAUGGAAACUGCUGAUUACCAUUGCAAGAUCGAUGCCAAAGACCUGAGUUUGGUUCCUGACUUAGUUCUCCCACUUAAGUUUAAAAUGCCAGAAUUCGAAUGGUAUAACGAGACUAGCUAUCCUGAAGCCCAUAUCAUCAUGUUCUGUCGGAGGAUGACGGCAUAUAUUGACAAUGAUCAACUGUUAAUUCAUUAUUUCCAGGAUAGUUUGAUCGGAGCUGCGACCAAAUGGUAUAACCAGUUGAGUCGUGCCCAAAUUAGCUCAUGGAAAGAUUUGUCACAAGCUUUCAUGAGACAAUAUAGCCACGUAGCGGACAUGACACUCGAUAGGAUCACGCUACAAAACAUGGAGAAGAAACAAAAUGAAAGCUUCAAGCAGUAUGCCCAAAGAUGGAGAGAAGUGGCAACUCAAGUCUAGCCGCCUCUUCUGGAAAAAGAAACCACAAUGCUUUUCAUCAAUACUUUAAAGGCCCUGUUCAUCACCCAUAUGUUGGGAAGCGCCACUAAGAGCUUCUCAGAUAUAGUAAUAACUGGUGAAAUAAUUGAAAAUGCAGUAAGAAGUGGGAAAAUAGAUACGGGGGAAAACUUUAAAAGACUGGCCUUUAGAAAGAAAGAAGGUGAGAUAAAUAAUGUAAGUCCAUACAACAAGGGAUAUUCAAAGCCAAUCACCGUUGGCUCACCAAGGACGGUAGCUACCAGUCAUCAAGGCCCUCCGAAGCAGGAGUCCAAUUCGAGGUCAGAAAGACCCCAGUUUACACCUAUCCUGAUAACUUAUAGAGAGCUAUAUCAAAAUCUAUUUGAUGCACAUGUGGUAGUCCCUUGUUAUCUAAAACCCAUGCAACCUCCGUUCCCUAAGUGGUAUGACGUAAAUGCUCAAUACGAAUAUCAUGUAGGGAUAACGGGGCAUUUGAUUGAGAAUUAUUCUGCGUUUAAGAAGGUGGUCGAAAGACUCAUCAAAAUCGGUAUUGUAAAGGUUGAUGACCCAUUAGGACCAAACUUAGCAGGAAAUCUGUUGUCUGAUCAUACGAAUAAAGGGGUAAAUGCGAUAGCCGAGGGUGGAAGUAAGAGAAUUAAGGCAGACGUAAUGGAGGUAAGAACCCCAAUGAAAUGUGUUUGGGAACAGAUGGUAUGUAAGGGUCUAAUCACACGAGAUUUAGAUGAAAGGCCUAAAGGGCCAAGAACAUACUGUGAGUUCCAUACCAAGGAGGUUCAUAACAUCCAAGAAUGUGUAGAGUUCAGGACCAUGGUACAAAAUCUGAUGGAUAAUAAGGAGAUAGAGUUUUAUGAAGAGAUCAAGAGAUUUAAAGAAAAAGAGGUCUACGCCUCAGAGGAGGGACCCGUAGAAAGGCUCCAGAAGGUCAAUGUGAUUAUUUCACGGCCAAGGAGCAAUGAAGUAGGGAUACAAAUACCACCGAAAGUCAUAAUUCAAAAACCUGUACCCUUUUUCUAUAAGGAUAACAAAAGGGUUCCUUGAAAUUAUAACUGUAACGUGACAAUUCCAGGAGAGGGGAACCCGAUAAAUACUUCAGAAGAGAGCAAUGAUGAUGGCUUCUACACACGUAGUGGAAAACGUUACGAUCCAGCAAUUUCAAAAACAGAGCCUGUAAAAGGAAAAACCUUGGUGGUCGAACAAAAGAAGGAAAAGGCGAUCCGACUUGAAUCACCUAUCAAUGAGCCAGUAAUGGAGAAUAAAGCUAGGGAGUUUCUAAAAUUAUUAAAACACAGUGAAUACAGUGUCGUAGAGCAGUUACAUAAGCAGCCAGCUCGUAUCUCGGUAUUAGCAUUACUCUUAAGCUUAGAGGCACAUCGCAUCACGUUAAUGAAAGUAUUAAAUGAAAUUUACGUCGCUAAUGACAUCUCUGUGAACAAGUUAGAUCAUCUGGUUGGUAAUAUAAGUGCUGAUAACUUCAUUUUCUUUAACGACGAUGAAGUACCACCGGGAGGCAUGGAAUCGACCAAAGCUCUGCACAUUAUAACUCGCUGCAAAGGGUAUAUGUUGCCAGGGGUAUUAAUUGAUAAUGGAUCAGCCCUAAACGUCUUACUCUUAUCCAUCCUGAAUAGGUUUCCCGUGGAUAGCUCGCAUAUGAAAAUGUGCCAGAACAUAGUGAGGGCGUUCGAUGGUACUAAAAGAAGAGUAAUGGGAAGGAUUGAAAUACCCCUCUUAAUCGGCCUAAGCACGUACGAGGUAGAUUUCCUGGUAAUGGACAUCAAGCCUUUUUACAAUUAUUUGUUAGGAAGUCUUUGGAUUCAUUCAGCAGGAGCAGUACCUUCAUUGUUGCAUCAAAAGUUGAAGUUGGUAACAGAGGGUCGGCUGGUGACGAUCAAUGAAGAGGAGGACAUCAUUGCGGCUGUAACUAGUGACGCACUGUAUAUAGGGACAGAAGAAGAAGCAAUUGAAUGUUCAUUCUGUUCUUUGGAAUUUGAAGACGCAACCAUUAUUGUUGAAGGGAAUAAGAUCCCCACACCCAGAACAUCCAAAACAACAAGGAUAGGCCUACAAAUGAUGGCUGGAAAAGGGGAUUUACCUAGAAAAGGACUGGAAAAAUACCUCCAAGUGAGGGUAGAGCUACCCAGAUUAAUGGACAAACGAGACCACUUCGGCUUAGGAUAUAAGUCAGAUGCAAAGCAAAAGAGGAAAGAGUUGGAGAAGAAGCGAGAAAAGGGAAAAGCGCGUUUGGAUAGAGAAGAGAUUAAAUGAGAGCCUAUGAUAAUCCCUCACAUAUCCAAAACUUUUGUAUCAGGAGGAACUAUUCACUCUGAGCAGAUGACGUCGAGAAAGGGAAUUAUAGAAGAAAUAUUAGGGAAUCUAAGCAUCAAUGCAAUAUACGAGGAAGAGGUGGAAGAAGGGAAUUCAUCAGGCAUUCGCCCUUAUGAGCCGGGAAGCGUUCUAAAUAAUUGGACUACCGAGGAGAUCCCUAUAACUUUUAAAGUCGAUUUAGAGUAAUAUUCAGAACACACUUGUUGCUCUGAGCCUGGGAUCAACAAGAAUCUUUUGUAAAAGGCAUAUGUCUAAAAUCUUAUUUCAAUGAAAUAUAUCAUUCAAUCUCAUUUUGAGCAAAUAUUCUUUUAUUCUUUCCAUUCCAUUCAUAAACAUACUGUGCAUAUAAUUAUUCUUAGAUUAUUUUUCUUUGAAUCUCCCUUCAGCUCAAUAACAGACCCCCAAAUAUUAAUGAUAUGAGUGACACUGCUACUAACUCAGAGUGUCCUUUUGAUCAAGAUAUGGGUAUAGAGGAUUCUUAGGAUUUUGAAGAUGAUCGAGGCUGUAACUUAUCUCCUGAUUUGUUAAGAAUGGUAGAACACGAAGAAAAAUAGACCCUACCUUAUAAAGAGUCGGUAGAAGUGGUGAGCUUAGGGGAGAGAAAAGAAGAGAAAAUUAGAGCUUGCAUUGAUGCAGAGACAAAGCGAGAUCUCAUUGAGUUGCGCCAAGAAUUCAAGGAUGUCUUUGCAUGGUCCUAUCAAGACAUGCCUGGGUUAAACACUGAUAUAGUGGUACACCGACUCCCCAUAAAAAAGGAAUAUAAAUCAGUUCAACAAAAACUCCGAAGGAUGAGACCUGACGUCUUGUUGAAAAUAAAAUAAGUUAAGAAGCAGUUUGAUGCUGGUUUCUUACAGGUGGUCAAGUAUUCAGAAUGGGUAGCCAACAUAGUCCCUAUUCCUAAGAAAGAUAGGAAAAUGCAAAUGUGUAUGGACUACAGAGAUCUGAAUAAAGCCAGUCUCAAGGAUAAUUUUUCGUUGCCCCAUAUUGAUACCUUAGUGGAUAAUACGGCCAGUUACUCACUGUUCUCCUUCAUGGAUGGUUUCUCAGGGUACAACCAAAUUAGGAUGCAUCUUGAAGACAUGGAGAAGACCACCUUCAUAACGAUGUGGGGGACAUUUUGCUACAAAGUGAUGCAGUUUGGACUAACAAAUGCGGGAGCAACGUAUCAGAGAGCCAUGAUAACCUUGUUCCAUGACAUGAUGCAUAAAGAGAUAAAAGUCUAUGUUGAUGACAUGAUUGCAAAGUCUAGAACAAAAGGGGAACAUGUGCAAGUCCUUAGAAAAUUGUUCAUCAGGUUAAAGAAAUUCUAGCUAAAACUAAAUCCAGCGAAAUGUACCUUCGGGGCCAGAUCAGGAAAAUUAUUGGGAUUCGUGAUCAGUGAGAGAGGAAUUGAGAUCGGUCCAGACAAAGUAAAGGCUAUACAAGAACUACCCCUGCCGCAUACUCAAAAAGAAGUUUGAGGUUUUCGAGGGAGACUAAACUACAUUGCUCUGUUCAUUUCACAGUUAACUGAGAAAUGUGGUCCCAUAUUUCGUCUCCUUAAGAAACACAACCCAAGUGUAUGGGAUGAAGAGUGUCAGAAAACUUUUGAGAAAGUCAAACAUUACUUGUCCAACACCCCAGUACUAAUUCCACAUUGCCCAGACAAGCCACUGAUAUUGAAUUUGGCAGUAUUUGAAAAUUUCAUGGGAUGCGUGCUUGGCCAACAUGACGAGUCAGGAUGAAAAGAAAGAACGAUCUACUAUCUCAGUAAGUAGUUCACUGAAUGCGAAACAAGAUAUUCACCAAUUGAGAAGUUAUGUUGCGCCCUGAUCUGGACAACUCAGAGAUUGAGACAAUACAUGUUGUACCGUACAACCUGGUUAAUCUCUAAAUUAGAACCUCUGAAAUACAUGAUGGAGUCGACUGCUCUGAAUGGAAGAAUGGCUUGAUGGAAAAUUUUGCUAUCUGAAUUUGAUAUAGUCUAUGUGAACCAAAAAGUAGUACAAGGGAGUGCAAUAGCAGACUUUCUGGCCAAUAGAGUGUUAGAAGAUUAUGAGCCACUAAACUUUGAUUUCCCGAAUGAGGAUUUGAUGUAUGUUGCAACUGCAGAAAAAGACUUUCAAGAAGACGGUCCUUGGAAGCUGAAUUUUGACGGAGCCUCGAAUGCUGUAGGUAAUGGGAUUGGGGCAGUCUUGGUAUCUCCCGAUGGUGAUCAUUACCCAUUCACUAGAAAAUUAGAUUUUGAUUGCACAAAUAACAUGGCAGAGUAUGAAGCAUGCAUAAUGGGAAUUCGUGCAGCUAUUGAACGCAAAAUCAAAGUGUUAGAAGUGUAUGGGGAUUCUGCAUUGGUAAUUUAUCAGCUCAAAGGCGAAUAGGAGACAAGAGACUCCAAGUUGAUUAAUUAUCGAAAGUUGGUCCUGGAAUUAAUUGAGGAGUUUGAUGACAUUACCUUCUGUUAUCUCCUACGGGAUGAAAAUCAGAUGGCCGAUGCAUUGGCUACAUUAGCCUCUAUGAUCAAGGUAAAUAAACAAGAGGAUGUGAAGCCUAUCCAAAUGAGCAUUUAUGAGGCUCCAGCUCAUUGUUACAACAUUGACGAUAAGGAAGAAAAGGAUGAUCACCCCUGGUAUCAUGACAUACUGCGAUAUGUAAGGAAUCACGAAUAUCCCGGCCAGGUGACUGAGAAUGAAAUGGAGACAUUGAGAAGGCUGGCCAAUGAUUAUGUCCUAGACGGAGAGAUCUUAUAUAGAGGAGGAAAAGAUCAGGUGCUGUUAAGAUGCGUAGAUGCUAUAGAGGCCAGACAAAUCUUGGAGGAGGUCCAUGAGGGUGUUUGUGGAACGCAUGUUAAUGGUUUCACAAUGGCCAAACAAAUCAUGAGACUCGGAUAUUAUUGGUCCACCAUGGAAGGAGAUUGCAUCAAAUAUGCCAAAAAAUGCCAUAAGUGCCAAAUUUAUGGAGACAAAAUUCACGUACCCCCUUCACCUCUCCAUGUCAUGACUUCUCCAUGGCCUUUCUCUAUAUGGGGCAUGGAUGUCAUUGGGACGAUCUCGCCAAAAGCUUCAAAUAGGCAUCGGUUCAUAUUCGUAGUUAUUGAUUGAGACUUAUAAGGAUUGGCGCGUGAAGUUACCAUUUGCCCUUUUUGCCUAUCGAACGUCUAUUAGAACCUCUACCGAGACAACACCUUUCUCAUUGGUGUAUGGAAUGGAGGCAGUUUUGCCCAUUGAAGUAGAGAUUCCUUCCAUCCAAGUUUUAUCAGAACUGAAACUAGAUGAAGCAAAAUUGAUUCAAUCCUGAUAUGAUCAACUGAAUUUGAUCGAAUAAUAGAGGCUAUGAGCUAUACAUCAUGGUUAAAUGUACCAAAGGAGAAUGAUGCGAGCUUACAACAAAAAGGCUCAUCCUAGGGAAUUCCACAAAGGAGACUUGGUACUGAAGAAAAUCCUCUCCAUACAAAAAAACUUUAGAGGAAAGUGGAUGCCAAAUUGGGAAGGACCUUAUGUGGUAAAGAAAACCUUUUUUGGAGGAGCGCUAAUUUUGACCGAGAUGGAUGGCAAGAACAUGUCUAAUCCUGUGAAUUCAGAUUCAGUCAAGAAGUACUUCACCUAAAAAAAAUGGGAGGAGAGGCCAAGGUGAAAACCCGCAAAGGGCAUCUCGAGACCAAAGGAGUUUUGAAUUGAAAACCCAGGAAUGGGCAGUUCAAAUUUUGAUCAAAGGUGGGGCAUGCGGUAGCUUUGUUCUCUUUGAAUUCGCAAGAAGGUGAGACGCUACAUCUUGGGGCAUCAACAAUGUCUUUUAGGACAUCUAAACACAUAUCAAAUUCAAAAGGAUCCUCAAGAAGUUUGAGUAGAGAAGCUCAUACUAUGAUAUCUGGAGCACCUAUUUCCACUUUUGUAUUUUGGCGAAAUACACCAUCUUGAUUAAAUUACUCUCAUUUUGUAUUCUAGCAAAAUUUGCUAUCUUGAUUAAUUUAUUCAUUUCAAGCUUUGUUCUCGACAAAAUUUCAUCUUGUCCAUUGUGAUAAUCUUUUUCAAGUAUUUUUCAUUGAAAUAAUGAUUAAUGGACUAAUAAUACUUUCAUUAAAGGAGUUCUAAAUAUUACUCUAAAAGCUUUUAAAUAGUACGAGGACCUGAAUCAAGACUAUUGUUUAGAACUAACCAAACCUAGGGGUUGGAGAUGCUAGCUGAACAAGAAAGCAUCAGUGGUUAAAACCUUGAUGAAUGACGAGUAAUGAAAACCCUAGCAUUAAAGAGGGGUAAUUCUUAUGACAUUCUGUAUUCAUGCAAAUAUCAUUCAUGUGCAUCUAAUUAGGAGCAUUUGGUUCAUUUUGAUCAUGACAUCCUAAUCGUUUAGGCAUAAACAAGAGUUCACGGGUCAUGCUUCCCCAGAGAACAGAUCAGUGAAACUACAAAUCUUAUCUCCCUGAAGUUUUAGUGAAGCGGAUUAAAAACACAGAUCUCAUCUCUCUAAAGUUGCUGUGGGGUAGACAGAAGAAACCAAUCCUAUCUCCCUGAAGUUGUAGUAGAGCGGAUUAAAAACACAAAUCUUAUCUCUCUGAAGUUGCAGUAGAGCAGAUCGCAUUCAGUCUUACCUCCCUGAAGUUGCAGUGGAGCAGACAGAAGAAACCAAUCCUAUCUCCCUGAAGUUGUAGUGGAGCGGAUUAAAAACACAGAUCUCAUCUCUCUGAAGUUGGAGUAGAGCAGAUCACAUCCAGUCUUAUCUCCCUGAAGUUGUAGUACAACAGACAGAAGAAACCAAUCCUAUCUCCCUGAAGUUGCAGUGGAGCAGAUUAAAAACACUGAUCUUAUCUCUCUGAAGUUGCAGUAGAGCUGAUCGCAUCCAAUCCUAUCUCCUUGAAGUUGCAGUGGAGCAGAUUAAAAACACAGAUCUUAUCUCUCUAAAGUUGCAGUAGAGCAGAUUGCAUCCAGUCUUAUCUCCCUGAAGUUGCAGUGGAGUAGACAGAAGAAACCAAUCAUAUCUCCCUGAAGUUGCAGUGGAGUGGAUUAAAAACACAGAUCUUAUCUCUCUGAAGUUGCAGUAGAGCAGAUCGCAACCAAUCUUAUCUCCUUGAAGUUGCAGUGGAGUGGAUUAAAAUGAUGAAUACUAUACCUCUGAAGUUGCAGUAGGUCAGAUUAAAUCUACCAUAACAAGUCUUAUCUCCCUGACGUUGUAGUGGAGUAGACUAAAACCAUGAAUCUCAUCCCCUUAAAGUUGCAGCAGAGUGGAUUGAAGCUAGAAACUGUAUUUCUCUGAAGUGCAGUGGAGUGGAUCGAAGUAAGAAGACCCAGUCGACUACAAGAAGGCUACCCGAAGAAGAAAGGCACCAAGAAGACAAGAUUUGGUGAAACCGGGCAAAAUUGGCCUUUCUUGGUAUUUGCUUCAUUCCCGUUACACGACAAUGAGCAAAGAGGGGCAACUGUUAGAAGCCAUUUUUGCCCGGGCCCAAACCAAAAGCAACCUAAUUUCCAAAAUAAUUAAACAGUCUAAAAAUAAAUUACAAGCCCAAAACUAAAAAAAACCUAGUGGCCUAAGUGGCUGGCAGUUGUCGUUACAACUACCGAAUUAUAUCUGCUACUCGACCAAUAUUAACUAGUAAUAUAGGUAAAACAGGGAAUUGUCCCACGGAGAAGCUUGUGUUAAAUCUAUUAGAAGAGAAUCAAAAUUAAACUAAAAUUUAACUGUGCACACGUAAGCAAAAAAUCAGGGGGUUCUUGGUUUAGAUGUAAAAAGAACUUAAGAAAUAAACAAAAGUAAAUUCGUACUAAAAUUGCGUUAAAAUAAUUAAUUCAAUAGAGAGAAGAAGGGUUAGUUAUGGACUCCUCAUUCCACCAAGCACAAGUCGUUUGCGACCUUCAAUUAUCCUAGAAGUCUAAUUCGGCAGCAAGGCUAAAAAAUUACUUACGAAGUGAUUUCCUAUCUCUGAUAAAUUUAUCCAAUUAGAGAACAUUCAUAACUGAAUUCCUACCCUUAAUCAUCUCAUUGUUGACUAAUUAAGGGUGCCUUAGUUUUUUUUAGAGAUUUCACCUAGCGUUAAUUGUAGAGAAACCUCCAGCGGCUUCUACACUUAACCCCUUAGUUGGUUUAAUUAGCUGCAGGCCAAUUAAUCACCAUCAAUUCUAUGUUUAAUUAAGAUAUUCGAUCACUCAAUUUGUACUUAGAUGAUUGUAAGAAAAUUCCUAAAUUAAAUAAGUGAUCAAUCAAAUUAAGUUAGAAAAUUUCCUUGAACGAUAUUAACAAACAAUUAAAGAUUACCGAACUUGGAAUUAGAACAAAGCAUAUCUUUGAAUCAACUUGUACUUGGCUUCAUGAGGGCCUAACUAAGUAAAAAUAAUUCAGCCACUCAUAGUAAGGGAAACAGAACAGAAAUCAAUUGAAGUCAACAUUAAUUUUGAGCCAAUCUCAUAUGGAAAGCUGUUCUUAAUUGUCGAGCCUUCCUUCUCUCGAUGAGCUGAAUUUCAUUGAACUGCUUUCCAAUUGCUUGAUCGGCGUGUGUGGGUUCACAAAUUUCUGGAUUGAGUAACCUGAAUUAUGCCUAGGAAAAAUCCCUCUCCCCGUCUGCUGCUUCUUCUCCUCCUUUUUAUGGAAUAAAAUUAACCACCAAUAAUUUAAAAGAAAAUCUUUUCUUAUCCCUUGAUCUUAGCUCAACCCGUCACAUAAAAAAUAGCUCCAGCCUACUAGAGUUUUACUUAAAUUCAACUUAUCAAGGGUUGAUUGGAUUCCCUUGAUUUGAUUAGAGUCGGCCACUGCUAGCAAGAAGAUUUAGAGAAUUAAAUAAUUCCCUUGCCGACUCGUUUCAUAAUGUCGGUCUAUUGUGCCUUGUGGUGGACCGAGCCUCGCCUUUGCUGUCAAGGUCCUUGUGGCCGAAUUAAUUUCCUCGAAUUUCGACCCCGUGAACUUAGAGAAUAAGCAUUCACCCAGCGUUUUCCAGCAACUUCUUCAUUUGGGUUCAUUCUAACUAUCUGAUGCACCUACCUUGCAACACGGCUUAAUAUUGUUAGAUCAUCGGCUUGAAGCAAAAAUAAUUUAACAGAGCAUAGUAUAUGCAAAUUGAGCUAAUUAGAAUUCAAUUGGUUAGAAAUUAAUCAAGAAUUUAAAUAAUUUAGUUGAAUAAGUUAGGCUCAAAAUUGAACUUAACAAACUCCCGCAUACUUAAACUAUUGAUCUUCCCUGAGCAAUCAAGUAAGAAAAAUCAAGAAGGAUUUCAAGAAAUCAAGUUUAAUCAAGAGUUGUUGCAUCGCUUUAUGCUUGGGAAGAAUUUUGAAAUCAACAGUCCUGAAUUUUGAUUUGUCGAAGAAAAGAGAAAUUGCUUUAAAUCCACAAAACAAAUUCAAAGCUAAUCAAAAUUAAAGAAUGCUUCCUUGAUCAAUCCUCUCCGGGAUAAAGGUGUUUAACUCAUAUCACUCAAUAUGUUUAGGCUAGUGUGCUGCUCUCAAAUUGAAAUCGACAAUAAUUAACCACCAUAGGCUUGCUUUUCCAAAUUAUCUGACAACAUAACACAUAAAAUUCCAUAAAUAUAAUUGAGGCUAAAUAAAGGUUGUCAUGGGCCCAAGGCAAUGUUUAGCGGACGGGAGGAAUUUAUUUGGAUGGUGGAGCUAGUUCUCUUAGGCUAGUAAAAUCAUUUGAAAGUCAUCAAUCUCUCUUAUUUCCUUUUUUUCUUUUUCUUUUUUUCUUUCUUUCUUUCUUCUAGAAUAGAUGACGAAUCAGCCCUUCAUCAUUUCCAUUUUCGUACCACCUGAUUUUGCCGUUCCACUUCAUUGUGAUCACAUAAUACUUCAUUCAUUUAGUUUAAUAGAAAGGCUGCAACUUACUGAUUUUUUUUUCAAGAAAAUCAGCCCCUAAUUUCCAGCUAAAAACCACCUCAAAUCGGCCAACAUAUGUCGAAAUUAAGAUGGACUUCCAAACUGAAUUAACUAGCCUAAGAAGGUGAGUUGAUUCAGGCUUUGGUUUAAUUUCUAGAGGUACAUAAAAAAUUGGGAAAUUAAGGCUUCAAAUUGGCUAACUAAUUGGAAUAAUGUCAAGGUCGGCUUUAAUAAGUAAUCGUGGCUUAAUUCCUAAUGCCUCUUAAAUCAUAUUAAUGUAAAUCAAAUGUAUUACUAGACUUAAUAAGAUCUAAAGCAAGUUCUAAAGUAAUUGACAGUCGAUAACAAUAAUCACACAUGAAUGAAUGAUAACCUCUCAAGUUGGCAUGGAUGUCCCAACUUUACUUUCUAGGCUCAAAUUCCUCACAAGGACCACAUGAUUGAUCAAUUAAACAGACUAACUUUGAUUCCUUUCCGAAUUUUUUUUUCCUUUUUUUCUUUUCUAACCCAAAAUCAGUCAUUUGAAAACAAAAAUUUAACCCAACCAAUCGACAUACAACAAUCACAAUCAACUUGAAUUCAUAAAAUACACCUUCAUUCUUUUAAUUCAAUAUUUUCCUUAAGAAAUUUAACAAAAUUUAUUCAUAAAAUUUGCUAAAAACAAGCAUCAAAUAUGUUAGAAAAUCAAUGAAUUGAUCUCCCCCAUACUUAAUGUUUGCAUUGUCUCUAAUGCAAACGAAAAUUAAAAAUUACUAAUGGAAAGAAAUAAUAAUAAUGUAAAAGAUAAAAGAAAAAAAAAACUUCCCUGAAUAAGUGGGUUGCCUCCCACAAGCGCCUUUGUUUGAAGUCGUUGGCUCGACAUCGCAAUUCCUCAUGGAUCCUCAAGAUUGAUCUCCUCCAACCAAGCUGCUUGCUCCCCUUCAUGAAAAUGUUUCAACCUGUGACCAUUCACCUUGAAAAUUUUAUUAUUUUCGAGGCUCCUAAUUUUGAUUGCCUCAUGAUGAUGCACCUCGGUUAUUAUAAAUGGUCCAAGCCACCUUGAUUUUAACUUACCAGGAAACAUUUUAAGCUUAGAAUUAAAUAGUAAUACCUUUUCCCCCACCUUAAAUUCCUUACGAAUCACUUUUGAGUCACGAAAUGCCUUCGACUUACCUUUGUAAAUGACCGAAUUGUCAUAUGCUUCUAAGCGCAAUUCCUCCAAUUCCUGCAACUUCAACUUGCGCUCUUCACCUGCCAAUCCAUAGUCCAAAUUGCAUUGCUUAACAGCCCAAAAUGACCUAUGUUCUAGCUCUACGGGAAGAUGACAUGCCUUUCCAAAAACAACCCUAUAAGGUGACAUCCCUA
rnacentral:lncRNA from 1 species